rnacentral:lncRNA from 1 species
UGGGUAACUAGACAAGGAUAAAUCUCCCAACCUACGGAAGGAUAAGUCUGUGUCCUACACAAGGAUAAAUCUAGUAACUUAGAAGGAUAAGUGGGAGUCCUCCUGAAAGAUAAUCGUAGUAAAUUUCCAACUAUGACGAAGAAGGAUAAUUCGGGCCACUGCAGAAGGCUAAAUCUAAUAAUCUACGCAAGGAUAAGUCUGUGUGCUAGGAAAGGAAUAAGUGGGAGUCCUACAGAAGGAUAAGUUGGAGUCGUACAGAAGGAUAAUUUCAAUGACUGCAGAAGGAUAAAUAUAGUAAUCUUCCAACUCUGUCGACGAAGGAUAAUUCGGGUCACUAAGGAAGGAUAAAUCUGCCAACCAACCCAAGGAUAAGUCUGUGUCCUACAAAAGGAUAAAUCUAGUAACUUAGAAGGAUAAGUAGAGGUCCUCGUGAAGGAUAAAUCUUGUAAACUUAGAAGGAUAAUUUGGGUAACUAGACAAGGAUAAAUCUCCCAACCUACGAAAGGAUAAGGCUGUGUCUUACACAAGGAUAAAUCUGGUAAACUUAGAAGGAUAAGUGGGAGUCCUCCUGAAACAUAAUCGUAGUGGGAGUCCCAUCACCGUUCCUAUUGACCAAGCGAAAGUCGGUUUUGCCUCCUGAAACAUAAUCGUAGUGGAUUUGCCUAUCUCUGAAUCAGAGAUGCAGAUGCUGGUAGCCCGGUUGUUUAGGGUUCUGGCCAUAAACUUUCUGUUAUCUUUCUAAACAAUUUCACGCAUUUUGUAAUUUUCGUAUACCAAGUUUUUUCUAUCUAUCGUUUAAUAAAACUAGCGUCUAAGCUUUUGGCGGGCUUAGAGCAAAACAGGCCAAAAAACAAUGCAAAAUGCUCUCAGCUCAGGUAUAGUUAUCCUUGUUUGUUAUCCUACAUCCAACUUAUCCGUCUCAAGUUAUCCUUGAUCCAGUUAUCCUUGUCUUCAGUUAUCCGCAUCCAGUUAUCCUUGUCUGCCGUUAUCCUUCACAAGCCCCAACAGCGAUGAUAAGUAUAUAAGCCAUCACAGGUCGCAUAAUAGAGCUCACAAGGUCAGGUAAUAUAAGAACCAACAGCGAUGAUAAUAAUAAGUAUAUAAGCCAUCACAAGUCGAAUAAUAGAGCCCACAGGUUCACGGUAGUAUUUACCACAAAUACCAACAGUUAAAUAGCUGUACACAUUGUUGGCAAAAAAGACCACAGUUCACAUAGCAAAAUACUAAGUGCUAAGAUAGAAAUUCAUCUAGAUAGCUAUUCGAACAAUGCUAAAAUUCCAUCAGGCACAUCUGCAGUGUUUUCCUUGUGCUGGAUAAGGCAUGUCAAAAUCCCUCGACUGUAAGAUUUAAUGUAUUGAUCCCGCAUCUGCAAAUUGGAAAAAAAAACAGAGACAAAUGAAGUUAUAGACAGUAUUUUCAGAACUCCAUAACAGGUUAAAAGGGAAGUUCCGUCACCAGACCUUUUCAUCCCAAGUCAGCUUGUUGAGCACUCCUGCCACACCUAUGAAAUGUUCAAGAAAAUACAUGGCUGCGAACACACUGUCAUUGGGCUGUACACAAGACGGAAAAAAUGACAGAGAUUUUUCAUCAAAUGACACUGUUUUGUAGUUGCAGUCUCCUAAGACUUUGUUUAAUUUCUUUCCCAAAUCCAAAGCGAAAUUUUUAAUUUCGUCGCCACCGUUGUUGCAAAGAAUACCGAUCUGUUUCAUAUUCUUCAGUUGGAAACAGACCACAAUCCAUUCACCAGAGAAUAAGACAGGGCAGUAUAUCUGCAAAAACAAUGUGUAUGUAACACAUCUUGGUUUUUGGAAAUUAACAGUUCCAAAAAAAAAACAUGUAUUGAUGCACAAACUUACAAAUCGAUGAGGAAACUCCACUGCUGAUUUCUUUUCGUUGGAUCCACCGAGUGCAUCUUUAAUCUUUUUCUUCAUACCUCCUUUGCCCUGCACUUAGGGGAAAAUUAAGUACAAGAUAUUCUGUUAUAGUUCUUAAAUUUGCUGGGAAAGCAAUGUUUUUUUACCUUGUAUAGUGGUGGGACAAAGAUCCUGCUGUCAUCAGGAUACGUAUUGUUCUCCAGGUAUUUAAUAAAUAAUGAGAUAAUAUCCCCGGCACACUCAACUUUCUGGAACGACUGUUCUAUUUCAGAACCAGUCAUUGCGAUAGCUCCGAAAUUCAAUAUUACUUGUUCCUUACUUUUCCAAUUGGAAACAUGACACAUCAGUAUAGCAAGUUUUACAGUUAUAUAAUCAUAAAGUUUCGAGAUACAUACCAAUCAGUGGCAAGCUCAUAAACCUCUUUAACUAUCGCAUCAUCAGGCCACUCGCGUCUAGUAGUCUUUAUAGCAGUCCUAACCUCUUUAACUAUCGCAUCAUCAGGCCACUCGCGUCUAGUAGUCUUUAUAGCAGUCCUGGUAGUUGCAAUUCGGCACCUCUUGCCCAGUUGAAUUAAGUCAUUAUCCAAGCUUGACCUGCUCUUCUCUUUCCUUUUCUUCUCUUUCUUCUUUCUAGAAUAAUAAACUAUGUCUUUAUCGAGGGCAUGGGAUGGAUUUUGUUCUCUGCGUGGUGGGGAUGAUGGCACCCCUUUUUCACCUUCAUCCACCUCGUUGCCUCCAGCCUCAUCAUCGCUUGUCCUUGAGCGUUCAUUGUCUGUUCUUGUAUCCAGGGAACUUCCCUCACUGGAUCUGUUGGCCUUCCCUUGAGCUUGGGCAUCGUCCAGCUUCUGGUUACCAUCGCUUGUCCUCGCAUGAUUCGCCUGGUUGCCUGCCUCAGCAUUUUCUGCUAUUCCCACACUGGAUCUGUCAGCCUCCUCUUGGGGUUGGGCAUCUUCCAGAUUCUUGUUACCAUCGCUUGUCCCUGGUGAGGAUGGUGGCAGAGGGCCAUCAUUACGCCCAUCUUCAUGACUCAUGGGGGAUACUGUCAGAUUUGGGCGUGGAGGGGAAUUUCGCAAAUCUGAAGGGGGUGGUGACAAACAUAUGGUGUCGUCCAAAAUGUGAUAUUCAUCUUGAGCUAUGACCUCGUCACUUACAUCCUUAGGAUUGUUGUUAGGAUUCUCAUAUAUGUCCUUCACAAGUUUUUUGCGAUACAUUAAUACAUCAUUCUGCAUUUUUUUGGGCAUAAAAAAGGAACAAACAUGAGUUAUGAAUUGUCUAGGACUUUUAAAAGUAGCCAAAACUGUUAGUUGAAUAGUUGAAUAAAAGGCGUUACACUAACCUCAUUGAUGUCAUCUAUUUUCAUUCUACCAAAUCGUUCCAUAUACAGCAGCAUAUAGAAUCCACAAUCGGAUCUGCAAUAAUCAUUUGCAUAGUUAAGAAUUUCGAUCAUUGACCAUUUAAUGCAAGGGAACUGAUAGCAUCGGUUAUAAGUGAAGGAUAACCCAGCAUAGGAAAACUUGACAACAGAAUCAUAUGAUAAUUUCUAAGGUAAUUUCAUAUGAAAAUUAUUAAGUGAGGAAAGAUAAGCUCUAAGUGAAGAUGAAGAAUUACCCAUUCGUUUGGCUCUUAAGGUUUGGUGUUUUAGUGCUGAAUGAAGAAAAAUCAAUAUGUCCCCCCUUCGCAAAAUAUUUUUCCAACGCCGAUAGCUGAAAGAAUGCAAUAAGGUGAGCUUCCAUAUGCACCCUUUGUAGAACAUUUUAUAAGUUGAAAAGUCAUCUUCUUAAUCUUACCACAGUUUCCGUCGCACUUCUAGUGCCCCGUGAUGGAAGGGAAUCCAGUAUAUACCUUAUUCCAUUCUCAAUGUCCACCACGAGCAAGUACCAAUGUAAACCAGAACCAUCCAAAGCUCGAAUGAGGAUAGGGACAAAUAUCUGGAAAAAAAUAAACUUUGUUUAAUUCAUGGCUUAAUGCAAGAAACGGAACAGGAUGGCAGAAAAGCACAAACCUGCUUCUUUUUGGCUAGGUUAGACAACUCCUUUUCCACAUAGCCUCUGAUUAGGGUUAAACCCAACAGUUCAUUCUGGACACAAUAGAAGAUAUGGUGAACGUUGACAAUAUAAAACAUGUAUAGACAUUACAUGUGCUUAAAUUGAUACUUACCACAGCAGAUUGACUAAGGAUUAUUUUGUCUUUCCAUUCUUCCUCCUCCCUCCAUAUGGAGCAUUGCACGUCCACAAUGAAGUUACUUAUCCAUCCAUUCAGUUUCAUGCUUUUUACAAAAUCAUGUUCUGCAAUGGUAAUGCCAUUAAUAUCCACCGCAGCCUUAUUGCCGAAAUGUUUCUGUUCCCAAUCGGCUUUUGACAUAAUGUGUUUUGAAUAGAACUCAUCCAAAUCUUUAUAUCUGAAAAAAAAACCAAGCCUUUAUUAAGAAAACUGUGUUAUAGUAAAGGGGAAAAAAACGAAAAGGAUAAUCCCUCACGGCAUGCUUAGUCAGAUCUGACCCAUUCUCACUACUGCCCCACACUUCAUUCUUGCCAACCCAGACCCAGCCAACAUACUCUCUCUCCAAUCAGUCCCCCGAUAUGGCAAAGCUCUGGGAGGACCUAUUCCUUAUCCACUGAAGAAACUAAUCAAGACAUGGCACUGGAGAGAUGGAAGUGUGCUCGUGGGUUGAACAACAGAAAUCAGAGAGGAGCCUAAAAUGGUUUUGGAACUUUAAGGACCAAAUAUAACUGGUAUUGCUCAUGAGAGACUAACCUGUCUACCAAGCUUUCCAUUUUCGAGGGCAUCUGUGACUGAGUCUUCAUGAUCUUCUCAUACAUCUCUACAAUCGACGAAUGAUUUUGCUUUACAAUCUUGAUAGCGUCGCUGUGCAGAUAACGAGGCAUGUGCUCCAAAGAAGAUUUAACAAAAUCCUCUAAUGCAGGAAUGUGCGCAACCAUGUCGUUCUUGGCACCACUGUCUUUCUCAGCUCUCUCACCAUAUCUUUUCACAACUUCCUUUCUUCUUACCGCGGGGUUGACAUGCGUGCCCUUUUCUUCUUUAUCCCCUUUUUCGCCUUUGUUUUUGCCAAGACGAGUGCGCUUAUUUUUCUGAAAAGGAGCAGGGAUAGUGUAUUCAAGUGUAUGUAUUAUAUAGGAACAAUGAUAUGUUGAAUUUAGAACCAAUAUUCUUACAUACUUUCUGCUUUCCAGACACUUUCUGCACCUUCACCUUCUCACAUUCAUUAUAGCUUCUUGAAUAACAGGUCUCUUCGGUUGUGCGAAACUGAAAAUGGGGCAUGGAUUAAGUGUGUUUGACUGUAACAUUACAGGAACAAUGGCAUAAUGCUUAAAAAUCAGAUUCUUACCUUGAGGUUGUCAAACCUCUUGCCAUCCUUUUGCAUAGUUUCCUGCACCAAAUCGGUCACCAUAGAUUCGCCGUAGUAACAAAUUCUUGGCGUCUGAGAGACAUCGCUUUCGGAUUUUGACUUUAGGAAGUCCAAGUAAUAUAACUGUAGGCAUAAGUUUACCGUUAGAUAAAUUUACUAUUAAUGAUGAAAAAAUAAUGGUUUUAAAGAUACUUACAAGAAGCACAGUCACAGGACCACUUAUGUAUACAGACGCGACACCACCAGGCUUGGUUGAUUUGGCACCAGGCUUGGUUGAUUUGGCUUGCGAUUUCCACCAUGAUUUAACACCAUCUUUUAAAUGGUUGAGAAGAACCUUGCGCCAAUUAAUUCUUUGUAUCCUUGCAAGGUUCAUACCCGCUUGCAUCUGGUGUAGAGUGAGAUAACCAUCCUUUUCUGGGAGCAGCAGUGUAUGGAAUGCGAUGAAGAAGAAGCACUUAACUUCCAGCUCAACAUCUUUGGUCUCCUUGGCUUCUUCCAUCACAUCACGUAAAUAAUCAACGCCAAUCUUGCCAUUCAUAAUAGUUUUAUGUUUUCUAUCCCUUUUCUUUUCAUCUGCAAUGGGCUCACAAUCAUCAACACUGUCAGGGAGCUUCAACAAAUUGUGAACAGCUUUCUUGAUUUCUCCUUGCUUCUUAGUGUCCUGCUCAAAUUCAAGGCUCUCACCAGAACCUUCAGGAACACCAACAACAUGUGCCACCACAUUCUCCGUGAUGGGGGGUAACUUAGAUCCUUCAAUCUUAAUCUCAACACCUUCAGAUGUUUGUUCUGUAUGUGUAUUGUUCAUAAGAAACCUCAAUAUCUCUCUGUUACCAAAACCCUCUAAGGACAUAUACAGUAACUGCUCAAAGCCUGCUGUUAUAACCACGUUCCGUGCAUCUGAUGACAGUUCCUGAGCUGCUAAAAUGACGCUGUUCGGACUGGACCGCGUAUGAAUCUUGGGAUCCUUCAUUUCAACCUCUGCAGUAGAAGCCUCCCCCUCUUUGGUAGCAUCAGCAUCCCCCUCUUCAGUAGAAGCAGCCUCGUCUUCUUUGAUAGCAUCAGCAUCCCCCUCUUCAGUAGAAGCAGCCUCGCCCAUAUUUGCAACCUCUAAAUUCACCUCCUCUCCAGAUCCCUCCCUCCCAGAAGGGCCCAUUGAUUCUCUGCACAAUCCAAGAUAAAUGUCAAGACAGAAAGCAAUAAGGAUGAACUCGUGGAUAAAUGCAUGAAUACAUGGAUUUGAGUGACAUUUGUGUAUCUAUUCUAUACAUACGUGAAUACAUGGAUUUGAGAAGCUCAACAUAAGUCCUUGUGUUUGUGCCAGUUCCUAUUCAGAUGCAAGCAAGUACUGACCAGCCGCCACAGACGAAGGAACACCAGGGGAAGAAUAAAUAGAUAAAGGAUAAACAGACGCCUAGACCCUGAACCCUAAGCCCGGAUAACCACAGUCGAAGGAUAACCAGGGGAAGGAUAAAUAGAUAAGGAUAAACAGACGCCAUCCCCGAUUAUCCUCACAUCAGACGCCUAGACCCUAAACACAUCAGAAAAAGGAUAAACACAGUCGAAGGAUAAACCAAAUCUUGACUUACCAAAGUGAUCACAGUUUCCCGUGCGCUCGGGGAAGGAGAGCCGGAGGUAAUCGUGGAGGAACGUCGGGGCACGGAGCGUCGGGUGAGGAUCGUCGGGUGAGGCUUCUGGCAAGAAGGUGAGGAAGCAAAGAGGUGAGGAAGCUUCGAAAUUUUGGGUGGGGAACUGGCGGUUUUGUUUAAAUGGAAUCGGAAUGGUUUUCUGUUUCGCAAAAAAAAAACGACAAUGUAAAAAAAAACGCGUGUAAAAAAAAAAGAACACUGCCGCAGCCGAGGCCCGUGCCCUCGCCGGUGGCCAUCGGCCUGCUGCGCCGCCGCAGCCGCGCGUUUGGCCAGCCCGCGCCACAGGUGCCUAGCUGGCAGCCGCGCGCCAACGCCGUAGCAGCCGCUCGCCUCGUUGCUCCCGUGCUGUGCUCUGCUCAUGGCCUGACUUAGAAAGGGGGCCGGGGGAGGCAGGGAAGCCCGGCGGCGGCGGCGGCGGCGCAGCAGGCCGAUGGCCACCGGCGAGGGCACGGGCCUCGGCUGCGGCAGUGUUCUUUUUUUUUUUACACGCGUUUUUUUUACAUUGUCGUUUUUUUUUUGCGAAACAGAAAACCAUUCCGAUUCCAUUUAAACAAAACCGCCAGUUCCCCACCCAAAAUUUCGAAGCUUUCUGACCUCUUUGCUUCCUCACCUUCUUGCCAGAAGCCUCACCCGACGAUCCUCACCCGACGCUCCGUGCCCCGACGUUCCUCCACGAUUACCUCCGGCUCUCCUUCCCCGAGCGCACGGGAAACUGUGAUCACUUUGGUAAGUCAAGAUUUGGUUUAUCCUUCGACUGUGUUCAUCCUUCGACUGUGUUUAUCCUUUUUCUGAUGUGUUUAGGGUCUAGGCGUCUGAUGUGAGGAUAAUCGGGGAUGGCGUCUGUUUAUCCUUAUCUAUUUAUCCUUCCCCUGGUUAUCCUUCGACUGUGGUUAUCCGGGCUUAGGGUUCAGGGUCUAGGCGUCUGUUUAUCCUUUAUCUAUUUAUUCUUCCCCUGGUGUUCCUUCGUCUGUGGCGGCUGGUCAGUACUUGCUUGCAUCUGAAUAGGAACUGGCACAAACACAAGGACUUAUGUUGAGCUUCUCAAAUCCAUGUAUUCACGUAUGUAUAGAAUAGAUACACAAAUGUCACUCAAAUCCAUGUAUUCAUGCAUUUAUCCACGAGUUCAUCCUUAUUGCUUUCUGUCUUGACAUUUAUCUUGGAUUGUGCAGAGAAUCAAUGGGCCCUUCUGGGAGGGAGGGAUCUGGAGAGGAGGUGAAUUUAGAGGUUGCAAAUAUGGGCGAGGCUGCUUCUACUGAAGAGGGGGAUGCUGAUGCUAUCAAAGAAGACGAGGCUGCUUCUACUGAAGAGGGGGAUGCUGAUGCUACCAAAGAGGGGGAGGCUUCUACUGCAGAGGUUGAAAUGAAGGAUCCCAAGAUUCAUACGCGGUCCAGUCCGAACAGCGUCAUUUUAGCAGCUCAGGAACUGUCAUCAGAUGCACGGAACGUGGUUAUAACAGCAGGCUUUGAGCAGUUACUGUAUAUGUCCUUAGAGGGUUUUGGUAACAGAGAGAUAUUGAGGUUUCUUAUGAACAAUACACAUACAGAACAAACAUCUGAAGGUGUUGAGAUUAAGAUUGAAGGAUCUAAGUUACCCCCCAUCACGGAGAAUGUGGUGGCACAUGUUGUUGGUGUUCCUGAAGGUUCUGGUGAGAGCCUUGAAUUUGAGCAGGACACUAAGAAGCAAGGAGAAAUCAAGAAAGCUGUUCACAAUUUGUUGAAGCUCCCUGACAGUGUUGAUGAUUGUGAGCCCAUUGCAGAUGAAAAGAAAAGGGAUAGAAAACAUAAAACUAUUAUGAAUGGCAAGAUUGGCGUUGAUUAUUUACGUGAUGUGAUGGAAGAAGCCAAGGAGACCAAAGAUGUUGAGCUGGAAGUUAAGUGCUUCUUCUUCAUCGCAUUCCAUACACUGCUGCUCCCAGAAAAGGAUGGUUAUCUCACUCUACACCAGAUGCAAGCGGGUAUGAACCUUGCAAGGAUACAAAGAAUUAAUUGGCGCAAGGUUCUUCUCAACCAUUUAAAAGAUGGUGUUAAAUCAUGGUGGAAAUCGCAAGCCAAAUCAACCAAGCCUGGUGCCAAAUCAACCAAGCCUGGUGGUGUCGCGUCUGUAUACAUAAGUGGUCCUGUGACUGUGCUUCUUGUAAGUAUCUUUAAAACCAUUAUUUUUUCAUCAUUAAUAGUAAAUUUAUCUAACGGUAAACUUAUGCCUACAGUUAUAUUACUUGGACUUCCUAAAGUCAAAAUCCGAAAGCGAUGUCUCUCAGACGCCAAGAAUUUGUUACUACGGCGAAUCUAUGGUGACCGAUUUGGUGCAGGAAACUAUGCAAAAGGAUGGCAAGAGGUUUGACAACCUCAAGGUAAGAAUCUGAUUUUUAAGCAUUAUGCCAUUGUUCCUGUAAUGUUACAGUCAAACACACUUAAUCCAUGCCCCAUUUUCAGUUUCGCACAACCGAAGAGACCUGUUAUUCAAGAAGCUAUAAUGAAUGUGAGAAGGUGAAGGUGCAGAAAGUGUCUGGAAAGCAGAAAGUAUGUAAGAAUAUUGGUUCUAAAUUCAACAUAUCAUUGUUCCUAUAUAAUACAUACACUUGAAUACACUAUCCCUGCUCCUUUUCAGAAAAAUAAGCGCACUCGUCUUGGCAAAAACAAAGGCGAAAAAGGGGAUAAAGAAGAAAAGGGCACGCAUGUCAACCCCGCGGUAAGAAGAAAGGAAGUUGUGAAAAGAUAUGGUGAGAGAGCUGAGAAAGACAGUGGUGCCAAGAACGACAUGGUUGCGCACAUUCCUGCAUUAGAGGAUUUUGUUAAAUCUUCUUUGGAGCACAUGCCUCGUUAUCUGCACAGCGACGCUAUCAAGAUUGUAAAGCAAAAUCAUUCGUCGAUUGUAGAGAUGUAUGAGAAGAUCAUGAAGACUCAGUCACAGAUGCCCUCGAAAAUGGAAAGCUUGGUAGACAGGUUAGUCUCUCAUGAGCAAUACCAGUUAUAUUUGGUCCUUAAAGUUCCAAAACCAUUUUAGGCUCCUCUCUGAUUUCUGUUGUUCAACCCACGAGCACACUUCCAUCUCUCCAGUGCCAUGUCUUGAUUAGUUUCUUCAGUGGAUAAGGAAUAGGUCCUCCCAGAGCUUUGCCAUAUCGGGGGACUGAUUGGAGAGAGAGUAUGUUGGCUGGGUCUGGGUUGGCAAGAAUGAAGUGUGGGGCAGUAGUGAGAAUGGGUCAGAUCUGACUAAGCAUGCCGUGAGGGAUUAUCCUUUUCGUUUUUUUCCCCUUUACUAUAACACAGUUUUCUUAAUAAAGGCUUGGUUUUUUUUUCAGAUAUAAAGAUUUGGAUGAGUUCUAUUCAAAACACAUUAUGUCAAAAGCCGAUUGGGAACAGAAACAUUUCGGCAAUAAGGCUGCGGUGGAUAUUAAUGGCAUUACCAUUGCAGAACAUGAUUUUGUAAAAAGCAUGAAACUGAAUGGAUGGAUAAGUAACUUCAUUGUGGACGUGCAAUGCUCCAUAUGGAGGGAGGAGGAAGAAUGGAAAGACAAAAUAAUCCUUAGUCAAUCUGCUGUGGUAAGUAUCAAUUUAAGCACAUGUAAUGUCUAUACAUGUUUUAUAUUGUCAACGUUCACCAUAUCUUCUAUUGUGUCCAGAAUGAACUGUUGGGUUUAACCCUAAUCAGAGGCUAUGUGGAAAAGGAGUUGUCUAACCUAGCCAAAAAGAAGCAGGUUUGUGCUUUUCUGCCAUCCUGUUCCGUUUCUUGCAUUAAGCCAUGAAUUAAACAAAGUUUAUUUUUUUCCAGAUAUUUGUCCCUAUCCUCAUUCGAGCUUUGGAUGGUUCUGGUUUACAUUGGUACUUGCUCGUGGUGGACAUUGAGAAUGGAAUAAGGUAUAUACUGGAUUCCCUUCCAUCACGGGGCACUAGAAGUGCGACGGAAACUGUGGUAAGAUUAAGAAGAUGACUUUUCAACUUAUAAAAUGUUCUACAAAGGGUGCAUAUGGAAGCUCACCUUAUUGCAUUCUUUCAGCUAUCGGCGUUGGAAAAAUAUUUUGCGAAGGGAGGACAUAUUGAUUUUUCUUCAUUCAGCACUAAAACACCAAACCUUAAGAGCCAAACGAAUGGGUAAUUCUUCAUCUUCACUUAGAGCUUAUCUUUCCUCACUUAAUAAUUUUCAUAUGAAAUUACCUUAGAAAUUAUCAUAUGAUUCUGUUGUCAAGUUUUCCUAUGCUGGGUUAUCCUUCACUUAUAACCGAUGCUAUCAGUUCCCUUGCAUUAAAUGGUCAAUGAUCGAAAUUCUUAACUAUGCAAAUGAUUAUUGCAGAUCCGAUUGUGGAUUCUAUAUGCUGCUGUAUAUGGAACGAUUUGGUAGAAUGAAAAUAGAUGACAUCAAUGAGGUUAGUGUAACGCCUUUUAUUCAACUAUUCAACUAACAGUUUUGGCUACUUUUAAAAGUCCUAGACAAUUCAUAACUCAUGUUUGUUCCUUUUUUAUGCCCAAAAAAAUGCAGAAUGAUGUAUUAAUGUAUCGCAAAAAACUUGUGAAGGACAUAUAUGAGAAUCCUAACAACAAUCCUAAGGAUGUAAGUGACGAGGUCAUAGCUCAAGAUGAAUAUCACAUUUUGGACGACACCAUAUGUUUGUCACCACCCCCUUCAGAUUUGCGAAAUUCCCCUCCACGCCCAAAUCUGACAGUAUCCCCCAUGAGUCAUGAAGAUGGGCGUAAUGAUGGCCCUCUGCCACCAUCCUCACCAGGGACAAGCGAUGGUAACAAGAAUCUGGAAGAUGCCCAACCCCAAGAGGAGGCUGACAGAUCCAGUGUGGGAAUAGAUCUGGGUUUGUGUGUCUACUACCUUUGAUGUCACUGAGCUCACCACAAAAAUCCUUAACUCCCUAAAUGCAACUGAAAGCCAAGGGACCAAUAUUAGAGAAUCCAGUUUAGAUCAGCUUCAUAAAUCCAUUCAAGACAAGUUGAAAUCCAAAAGGUUUCUAAUCGUCUUUGAUGAUAUAUGGGAACACGACUUUAGUAAGGCUGCAUCCACAAAAAGAUUUAGCAAGACUGAGUGGGAAAAGUUGUUAGCUCCAUUUGGACCGGGAGAGACCAAUGGCAACAUGGUUCUGGUCACAACUCGGUUCCCAAAGGUAGCAGAAACAGUCAAGAAAGGAGCCAAUCAAGUUGAUCUACAUGGGCUGGAGCCUGAUGAGUUUUGGGACUUCUUUCAACUGUGUGCAUUUAGUGAAACCCAAGAUGACAAUGAUAAAGAAAAAUUAUUUGACAUUGGAAAACAAAUAGCAAAGAAGUUGAAGUGCUCCCCACUGGCUGCCAAAACAGUUGGACCACUAUUGCGUAAGAAACCCACCAGGAAACAUUGGAUGGAAAUUCUUGAAAAGGAAGAAUGGCUAAAACAAAAGGAUGGCGAUGAUAGUAUUAUCACUGCCUUGAAAAUUAGCUAUGACUACCUCCCCUUUUAUUUGAAAAAAUGUUUUUCAUAUCUUGCCCUUUUCCCUGAGGAUUAUGAGUUUGAUAGUUUAGAGAUUAGUUGUUAUUGGGACUCAAUAGGUAUCAUCAAUUCCAGUGGUAAGAAUGAUACAAUUGAGGGCAUUGGAUCACAGUAUUUGAAUGAACUAUACGAUAAUGGUUUUCUAAUGAAAGGGGAUGAUAAUCACUACGUAAUGCAUGACUUACUGCAUGAACUUUCGCAGAUUGUUUCAUCAAGAGAAUGCGCAAAUAUAAAUUACUCUAGUUUUAGAGCUGAUGACAUCCUUCCAUCUAUUCGCCAUCUGUCCAUUACCAUACAAGAUAAAUAUACUGAGAGUUUUAAAGAGGAAAUGGAAAAAAUAAAGAAAAGGGUUGACAUUAGAAAUUUGCGUAGUGUGAUGAUCUUUGGAAGUUACAGAAGUAGAAGAAUUGCUAAUGUGGUAAGAGACACGUUAAAUGAAAUAAGGGCACUUCGUGUUCUCUUCAUAUUUAUGAAUUCCCCACAUUCCUUGCCUGAUAACUUUUCGAAACUUGUCCACCUCCGCUACCUAAAAAUUGGAUCACCGUGGGGGUUCAAAGUGUGUAUUCCUAGCACAGUGUCCAAGCUUUAUCACUUGAAAUUCUUGGAUCUCAAAUCCUGGGGUGGUAGUAACAAUAAUUUGCCUAACGACUUUAACCGCCUUAUAAACCUACGCCAUUUUCUUGCUAAAAAAGAAUUCCAUUCCAAUGUUCCUGAGGUUGGGAAAAUGAAGUGUUUACAAGAGCUCAAAGAAUUCCAUGUCAAGAAAGACAAGAUUGGAUUUGAACUGGCACAACUGGGACAGUUGGAACAGCUUAGAGGGGAGCUCUGUAUAUUUGGCCUUAAAAAUGCAACUAGGGAAGAAGCUAUUGAAGCUAAAUUGAAGCAUAAAAGUAACCUAAGCAAGUUGCGAUUAGAUCGUGGUGGUAAUAGAGAGAAGAAUACAUCCUCCUCCUCCUCCAGGACACAAGUUGUUAGCAAUGAAAAUCAGGACGAUGAUAUUAUUCUUGAUAGCCUUCAACCGCACUCUAAUCUUACAGAACUAAGCAUCGUAAAUCUUGGUGGUGGCAUGGCUCCAAGUUGGUUGGGCAGCAACAUCAUCCACUUGGAUACCCUCCACCUAGAUGGUGUACCUUGGGCCACUCUUGCACCGUUUGGGAAAAUACAAUAUCUUAGGGAGCUCAAGCUAAGAAAUAUCGUUGGGAUGUACCACACACACUAGUUUUAGACACCUGAAGAAGAUUGUGUUUGAGGCUAUGCCAGACUUUGUAAAGUGGGUUGGGGGAGACGAUAAUUCCCAUUCUUUCUUCUCAGGACUUGAAAGGCUCGACUGCAUUUCUUGUCCCAAGCUUAAUGAGUUGCCAUUAUCGAGUUGCUCUAGCUCAUCUUGUACCAUGUGGUUUCCUAAGCUGCGCCGUUUGAACAUUACCCGGUGCUUGGAGCUGUCUGUCCCUCUUGUGCCUCACACCUCCACACUGACAUAUGUUCGUGUAAAUGAUUCCGUUCGUGGUUUUAAUACUAGCAAAAAGUUGACACUCGACGGCUACAAUGGUGCUUUGGCCUUCCAAAAUCUGGGUAAUCUUGAGGAGAUCUACAUUGGAGAUGUACAUAACAUGUCAUUAAUAGAUUUCCAGCAGCUACGCUCCCUACGGAGGCUGACGGUUACGCUUUGCAGGGAUACGUUCUUGAGAGGACUGGAUGAGCAUGUUGUAGUCGUAUUCAAUUCAGUUAGAGUCCUCAAUCUCUCUGGAUUUUUACUUACAAGAAAGAUGCUGUCAAAUUUGUUCAGAUGCUUCCCAGCUCUCUAUGUGCUGUCUAUGUCACCUUCCAAAGAGAGCCAUGAGGAGGUAAAACUGCAGAUCCCAUCCUCCUGCUCACUCAAGACGAUCCGGCUUUUUAAGUGCAAGAACCUGAUUCUGCCGCCUCUUGAUGAUGGACAAGGACUUGUCAAUCUCACGUCGCUCCGAAAUUUACAUAUAGAUGAUUGUGGCAAAAUAUUCUCUCAGUGGUACAUGGGAAAACCAGCUCAAACAACAAGUAACCCUUUCCCUUCUUCCCUCCUCGAACUUAGCAUUUGCCGAGAGUCAAGAAUACAUUCAAUGGCUUUGCUCUCAAACCUCACAGCUCUCACCAGUCUACAACUAAUAGAUUGCUGCAAUGUAACAAUGGAUGGAUUUAAUCCUCUUAUCACAUCAAAUCUGAACAAGCUGUGCAUCUCUUCUUGUGGCUCUGCUCCCGCGGACCUACUCGCCGAGAUGGCAAGGACCAAAACAACAAUGCCUCAAGUUGCCUUCCAAUUGAAAGAUCUUGUGGUGGACAGCAUAUCGGCAGUGCUUACUGCUCCCAUAUGCAGCUUCCUCGCCCCUACUCUUCACGAAUUAGGCAUCAAAGACGAUGUUGACAGGGUCUCAAGCUUCAGCGACGAACAAGAGGGGGCACUUGAGCUACUUGUCUCCCUCAAAAAACUAUCAUUUGAUGGUUUAUGGGUUCUGCAGUCCCUCCCUGAAGGGUUACAUAAGUUUCCUUCUCUCACUGAGCUAAGUAUCAGCCAUUGUCCUCAAAUCCAAUCGCUUCCAAAGAAUGGCCUCCCAACUUCCCUAGAAACGUUUUCAGUAUUUAUCUGCAGCAGCGCACUCGAAGAGGAAAGCAAAAGAUUCACAGAAGAGAAAGAAAGAUACUACUCAGAAUCAGACGACUAGAUACAUACAUUCUCCACCAUGGUAAAUCCUGUUUGUUAAUCUGCAUUACCAGAUGAGUACUAUUCUGUAACUGUAAUUUGACGGCUUAUUAACUCUUUCCACCCUGUCCCCUUGGUUAUUAGGGCUCUAUACGGCAUCAGCAUUGCUUUUGUCCACCACAAUGUGUGUGUCGGGUGAGAAUCAGAUGUCAUCCAUUGAUCCAUGCGCACAACUCUGAACGUUAGUAAACAAAAUCUAGUUCUUUUUUUUUUCUGAAUCCACAUUCUUAUUUUUCUUAAUACAAUUUGGAAAUAUUUUCUUCUGUCCUCAUAAUAUGUUGAGCUUCGUUUCCGUUGAAAACAGGGCAAAACAGUUUGUACGUAUGUUGCAUGGUAUAUAUAUCGAAAACCAACGCAUAACCAAACUCUCCAUUCUGGAAAUUGUGCUUCAUGAUGCACAUUAGUAUGAUAUAAGCACAUCAUCAUUUAUCAGGAGCAUCUGGAGGUCUGAUACCUACAGGCGUAUGCCUACUGCAAAUUAUGGUUAGUUGUGAGAAGAGUCUCUGCUUGCUGUUUAUAUACUUUCUCCGUUUCAUAUCAUAAGACAGAGAUAGAAAUUUAUUCAUCCAUCUUUUUUUUUUUGCGGGGAGUUUAUUCAUCCAUCAGUUUGUUCAUGUGAAGGUUGUAAUGACCCCGUUCCACAAUUUGAGUUAUUGCCGAUGCUGGCUAGUUGAAAUCUUCAUGUCCCUCGGGCUCGCUGGGUUCACUGAUGCCGUCUACUCCGUCGUGCUGCAGGCAAGCCUCCCAAUAUUACAUUGCUACCUCUUCCCUAUCCUGCAUCCAUUUCCUGCGCUGUUCAUGUUUUUUUCUGGAGUCAAAUUUAUACUCAUGUAAUUUGUCAAACUGGAUAACAGAUGAUUUCUUGCCUACAACUCCGGCGCCUCUGCAACACAUCAUCAGAUCAAAUUUCUGGUAAACGGUUAAGCAUUCUCUGUUAUGUAUAACUGCGUUGAUUCUUACUAGUUUCAGCAGCUGAUUUUGAAAGACCAAGAACGGCUAUAGGGGGGGUGAAUAUAGCAAUUCAAAUCUUGCCCCCGAAAAUACUCAUCAAGCUGGAUUUCUCAAAAUCCUUACUAGAACCACGGCUAUUAGAGAAGCCGGAUCUAGAAAAGAAGAGAGAAGGAAUUCCCGAAACUAGAAGAGGAAGAGAAAAGGAAUUCCCGAAACUACAAGAGAGGUGAGGAGGAGAGAACAAAACUCAUAAUCGCAAAGUUUAAAUUGCAAGCGGAAUUUAAAUUGCGGAAUUUAAAUGAACAAGGCAAAAACGAAAUCCUUCAAAUCAUUUCAUUCAUAGGUGAUGCAAAAUAACCGCUCAACUAGGAGCAGACAUACACCUUCAGAGAAACAUUAACACAAACUUAAAAUCUCUCGGACAAACACACUCCAAACUAAUCCUAAUACAAAAGCCUCUCGGGCAAACACACUCCAAACUCACACGGAAACUCUCUCACUGAACAUCUCAAAAGGAUUACCAAAAGGAGCAACCUCCACCCUUGCAUCCAUCUCUCUAUUUAUAGUCUAAGACCCCCAAGACAUUGUCUCAAAUGCCCUUAGGGUGAUGCCCUAGCCUAGAUGAAAUCCCAGCCAUUUGUUCUUACUUCUCCUCAAAGGAAAUCCUCCAGAUGAAAUCCACGUCAUCGAUCCGAAGUCUCCACACUGAUCCGAAGGUAUCAAUCCGUGCCUUCUCCUCUUGACAAAUCCGAGCUUGCCACGUUGUCCGUCGAAAUCCCACGCACGCGAGCCCGCGCGCUCGUCCGCGUGCCCAGUCCGAAGCCGCCACGUCGCCGUCCUUCAGUGCGCACCGCGCGCUCUGCUUCCCGCGCGCUCCAUCCAAAUUCCCGCGCGAGUCGCUUCCUUCCGCGUCGCCGAAAACACGUGAGUUCCACACCCGCGCACGCCGUGUUGGGCCGUCAUGUCUUGGGCCUCCUCGGCCUGGCCCUCCAAGCCGUGAAUGGCACUUGGCCACGUGCACACACACAGCUCCAGCUUGCCGUGUGCAUGGCCAUGCACUGUCCCUAGUGCAUGCAUGCCUUGGCUGCACCACCGAUCCAUGUAUGUGAUCAUGACACACAUGCAUGCUGCACGUCUUUGUCUCUUCCAAUUUUCUUCGCGACACACGGCGCUUGCACUUGACCUUGCGAAGUCCGUUGCAAAAACCUCCUCACACGGUGUCCGUCCACCGUGUGCAACCUUAUAUCCAAUCUUGUCACCCGGCAUCCUCGAUCACUUUGGACCUUAACUCCUCCCUAAGUCUAGUCCCGAUCCGCCGUUGACCAAGAUCGACCCCGAUCACCUGCACACACAUGAACCAAACAACCGUUGUCUUGGCACAGAUGUCGCAAUCAGACCAAUGUUAGUUCACGCACACACUUCUUGCACUUCCGGUACUUAUCAAUUUCCCAUCACAAAAGAACUAUAACCACACAUGGUUUCACAGAUUCACCAUUUGUAUACCUUUUCUCUACGGCUUGAAUUGCAGUUUUUGCCGUGCCUCUGUCUUCCAUUUUGGCAUGAGACGUGUUUGUGUCAGAAGAGAAGCUUAAUUAUUAAGGAUGCAUUUAAACUCUAUGCUCCCGCCAUAAUAUUUCAUAUCCAUCCUGUAGCGGGAGAACUGCAGGUACAUUACAUACACUAUUUGAGUACCCACAAAUUUCAGCAGCAACGUUAACAAGCUACUAAUGAAAUUCUGAAGCUUUAUACUCGAUUCGGACUUUCCGACGGAGAGGAGGUUGCUGCUCCAGCGUCUUCCUCAUCUGGUGAUGUUCAUCCAAAUUAAUCUCUUCCAUCCCUUUCCAUUUCCCUUUCACAUUUUUUUAGAUAAUGGAUUUUCAUUAAUCCGGCCUCUAUAUCCACAAGGAUAUACACAGCCAAAUUUCCCUUUCACAUGAUGUGCAGUACAUGUGUUGAUCAAUGACUAUUUGUUCUCAGACAGGUCUAAUUAAGAAGAUCCGUUCCAUGUGACUGGCUUGUCUGCUUCAUUUCAUUUCAUGGAUCUAGCUUUCAGUACAUUUUAGGGAUGUAAGACAAAUUGUGAGUGCUGCUGCUUUUUAUGUUCUGUAAGAAAUUGAGUUAUUUGGAUAUUCCUGAAUGGAUCGAACUAAUUAACUCUUCUUUAUGUGCAUCACAUUACUUCCGCAUUGCACAAAAAAUCAGUGGAUUCUGAGGAGGGUUUGCACUUGUCGGAUUGGAUAACAAAGCUGAAGAACAGAUCACCAUUGGUUAUUGCCGAGGCAUUGCGCUUCCUGCACCUGCACGAUGAGUGUAGUCCACUAUUUGGUUCACAGGUAUGCCUAGUGAUAUUAUUGGCAUCUUACUUCUUAGUUAUAAUUUGCUAAGAUGAAGUGCAACUUGGUUGGUUUAGAGUAUAAAGUGCAAAUGAUUGUUAUUCAUGUGCAUAUGGUUAAUUUGUUCACAACUUUUUUUUUUUGAAACCUAAGCCAGCAUUGCUGGUUUUAUAUUAAGAGAGGGAGAAAUUGUACAAACAAGAGACAAUGACCCAGUUUAUAAGGGAAACUGGGCCCGAAAAUCAUCAUGCGCGAUAUGUUGUACUAGGAAAUAAGGAAAGUAGUGUGCAAGGACAGUAAAGUAUAUAAUUCAUCCCUUGGAAAUGGUUUCACUCCGUGUGUUACUUCACAUAGGUCAAAUUUCAGUAGUUUAUAGUGUUUAAUUACAAAACAUGGAGGCAUUAAGUUUUACAAUUUUAUUCUCAUAUGGUAUCUACAACUCUAUGAGAGCUCACCAAGCUCAAGAAGAAUCUGUUCUUACUAAUUUCAUGGCUUCAUAUAAAUCUCUCAGUUGCAUGUAACAGACUACAUCUAGCAAAAAAAGAAUUUCAGCAUUACAAAUAAUAAAGCACUGGUUAUGAAUUCCGACAGGCUUUAUGAGUUUCAGAAUAUAUGUACCUGAAGAAGGCGGAGACGGAGAGUGAUCCUGUUGUGGCACAGGAAACGGGCUGGCCUGCUGGAACAGGGGACUGUGCUAAUUUCAAGUGGUGGCUAAUUUCAUCACCGGAUGGAUGACUAUGACGGCGCCGGCGAAAAAUGACAGCAUCGAAGAAGGGGACUGAGGAGACGAUGGGGAACAACCAGAUGAUUAUAAACCAAAGCCGGGUGGCUUCUCCUUGCUGCGUGUUGGUCCGGGAAUCAAAAUGAGGUUUAUAUUCCGCAGUGGAUAUUUGAGAAAAUAAUCACUGGGCAAGAACUGGAAGCAACCAGGGAAUAGACGCAAUAAAACUGGCCAUUGUGGCGUUAUGGUGCAUACAGUGGAACCCCAAGAAUCACCCAUCUAUGAAAAAGGUGGUCAACAUGCUAACAGGAAGCUUGCAGAGUUUAGCCAUGCCCCCUAAGCCUUUUGUUUCAUCUCUGGGCCACCCUAGGCCACAAAUCUAGGGAAACAUUUACUACGGCUCAAAGAUGUUUGAGACUUGUGCGUCAUAGAAAUAGCUACUGUGAUGCCACGUUUGGUUUCAUGCAAGUUAGGUUUGACUAUACUUGAGUAUGCCAUAAGAUGUUCAAAUAACUUGCAACCCAGCAGUUGGCACUUGACAGGUUUAAUCUGAGGUCGCUGCUCACUUCAUUGUGUAAUUUAACUCAUUGCAUCUGUUUUUCGACUAAGUUAUCUUUGUGACUGCUAUCAUGCAAUGUACAAGGCAAAGCCUUGGAUGCAUACAAUGAACAAUCAUGUGCUCAAGAGUCAAGAGGUUAGUUUCUUACAGCGAUUUGUCGUUCCUGCCGCAUUUCUCCACACAUCAUGGUAUGCAGAACAGCCACCCGACCCGACCUAGAGAUCCGUAAUGCCACCGUUCAUGGAUGAGUCACUGGAACUGCUACAAAUCUGUACGUAGUUAGGCACUUGUAGUGUGAUAAACUGAAGAUAUGAAGAGAGAAGAAAACGAACAAGGCUCACCUUUCUCGAUGAGGAGGAGGGAGAACGACGAGCAUUUCCUGGAGGACGCGGCGGCGCUCCGGCGAACUAAAUCCAUAGAGGGACCGGCCGCCAGUCCAGAUCGAUCGCCGGCCGCGGGAUCAGUGGCGGGGGGCGGCGCCGCACGGAGGAAGGAAGAGGAUGGGGUUUUCCUUUUUUUUUUUGUGAGGUUGUAUUUUGUCGAUUUGGGCCCUCAUCUAUCAACGAGCCCAACCAAAAUGGGCCUUACGUAAGUCUCAGUCACGUUAUUGGGCCAGAUGUAACCGAGAUCCCGUUCCGACCCAAUAAAUCUUAUUCUUGGGCCAGAAUUCCAGCCGCGGGCCGCUUAAGCCAGGCCGUGGCGGCGUCGUUCUCGACUCCGGCGCCGCCGGAGGCUGAGCACCGUGGCGUCGCCGCUGCCGCCGCCGCCGCGGCUCUCCAGAUGAGGGGGGGGGGGGAGGGAGAGGCGGAUCAUAUCGGAGAUGGAGCGCACGGUGGUGGCCGGCGUCGAUCGGCUCAAUGCGAGCCACGGGGGCACUCUCCCGACUUCUCAUGGUCCCCGAUCCCCUCGCCCUCGCCGACCUGGUGUGCUUUCAGCGAGGCUGGCAUUCAUGUGCAGCAGCUUGCAGUUUCUCUACAGUUGAUCCGCUUUCUUCUUCUUCUUCCUUCUUCUCCUUAGGGCGGCGCGUGUAUGGCAACGGCGGUGGCAGUCGGACUACCAUUACAACCAAACGAAACCAAUGCUGCUGCUGCUACUGCGGCAGGCAGCCUCCGAGCAGGUCGAGGUCCUCCCGGCUCCCGGUACCCUACUACUCUCCUCAUAGUGGGUUCGCAAGCGUUCUUUGCAUUGUUGCACUAUAUGCAAGUGACGAUGAUGAAAUUACGCAUCACUCGUUGCGGAAUUAGCCAGACCAUCUUGUUUUUGGUGAUUUUCUUGCACAAUCACUGGGCCGCAGACCACAGGCUGCGUCGAUUUGGUGGUACUUAUGGGUGUCAAUGUUACCGGUGUAUCCAUGAGGUUAAUAAUCUGGACAUGGCAAAAGGUUACUACUUCCUCCGUUUCAUAUUAUAAGACUUUCUAGCAUUGCCCACAUUCAUAUAUAUGUUGAUGAAUCUAGAUACAUAUGUGUGUCUAGGUUCAUUAACAUCUAUAUGAAUGUGGACAAUGCUAGAAAGUCUUAUAACCUGAAACGAAGGUAGUACUUAUUACUACCAUCUUUCAAUUAAACUGCUAAUUAAUCUAAAGUUGUCUUCCCGUGCAAUGGGAUUGCUUACUACUACCUCCGUUUCAGUUUAUAAGACUUUCUAGUAUUACCCACAUUCAUAUAUAUGCUAAUGAAUCUAGACACAUAUGCAUACAUAUGAAUGUGGACAAUGCUAGAAAGUCUUAUAAUAUGAAACGGAGGAAGUAACAAUUUUUGCAUGCUUACAAUUCACAAAUCGAUUAGGAAAUAGAAGUAUUGUUCUAGCUACAUAUUACAUUCAGAGUGCAAUUUUCAGAACUGACUGGACAUCAUGACAUGCUCAACUUGUAUGUAACAUGCUGAUACAUUUAGCUCGCCAGAUUUUCUGGUGUAGGUUAGCUUAGAGAUGAGACGAAUGGCCUAGGGGGAUUCUUCAGAUUUUGCAAGCUUCCUGUUAACAUAUUCACCACUUUUCUCAUGGAGGGCCGGUUUGCUGGGUUCCACUGAACACACCAUAGCGCCACAAUGGCCAGCUUUCUCAACUUUUCUUUCUCUUCCUGUGUCAUAUCCUUGGCAAAUUCUGACUCUUGCGCACUGACUAUUGUCUCAUAUAUCCACUCUGGAACAAAAACCUCAUUUUGGCUGUUGAUACUUGGAUCUGAGUUCCUCUUUCCGCUCAACAUUUCCAACACUAGCAUGCCAAAACUGAAAACAUCUGACUUGUAAGAUACCGCGCCAAAGUUCCUAGAAUAUAGUUCCGGUGCAAUGUAACCCAUUGUGCCUCUUGCUGCAGUCAAUGUGACAAUGCUUUGAUCCCUUGCGCAGAGCUUUGCAAGGCCAAAGUCCGAAAUCUUUGGGCUGAAGCUGUGGUCUAGCAAAAUGUUGUGAGGCUUGAUAUCAAAGUGGAGGAUGCGCUGGCUGCACCCUUGAUGUAAGUACUCAAUUCCUUGGGCUAUUCCUAAUGCUAUUUUGAGCAUCUUGUCAGGAACUAGGACUUCUUGAGAACUAAUAUAAUCACGUGAGAAUAUAUAUUUCUCCAGUGAAUUAUUAGGCAUGAAUUCAUAAAUAAGAGCAUGCCUUGUUCCUUCGGAGCAAAAUCCCAAGAGGCGGACAACAUUGACAUGAUGGAUUCUCCCUAUGGUUGCUACUUCAUUGAUGAACUCUUCCCCCUCUCCUUUUGAGUUCUCAAGCAUCUUUACAGCAACAGGUACUCCUUUUGACAGCUCACCUUUAUAUACACUUCCAAAUCCACCUGUGCCUAGUUUAUGUUUAAACCGUCUUGUAAUCCUCUUCACUUCAGAGAAUGUGUAUCUUGUCGGUUUAGAUGUGCCAUAUGUCUUGAGAAACAUUUCAACCUUCAGUUGUAUCUCAUCGUCAUUCUUGGUUUUAAGAGACAGAUAGAGUGCAGAGGCCACCACCAGUGUAAGUACUACAAUUGUGGGUACAGAUACUGCCACUGGUAAAUCAUAAUGAAGGAAGUUAGCAACUUGUAUAGUUGUUUUGAACAUUUAUAAAAAGUACCAACUAUCCUUAUUUAUCCUUGGAGAAACAAGGAAUUAAAAUUACAAAAGAAUGAGCUUAAGAUGAACUGUUACCUAUGAUAACUUUGGCAGGUGAUUUUGAACCUGCAGAUAGAAAAGUAAAGAAUUAGAUCCACCCUAUACUCAGAUACACAAACAUAUGGAAUAUGUUGCUCCAUAUUAGUCAGAACAGUAAAAAAAGGCCAGGGUACAGUAAAACAUAUUAAGCUUGCACUUGUAGCUGCACAUAACUCAUAAGAGGCAUACAGUUGUCAAGACAAUUCGCAGGAUUAUGACUUUCUAGGCCCACAAAUGUGUUGAUCAAGUGUUCGGCUAGAACUACAUGACAGAGAAUAUAUCCCAUGACAAGAAUUAAAAAGUAUGUGAGAUCAAAUUCUAAAGUACUAGGAAACAAGAAGAAAAUAAGUAAUAAAUGGAAGUAAAGGUUGUGCUUUUAUUUCAAAUCAUUUAGAUUUUUCAUACCAAAUAGUUAAAUCUGCAGAUCAUAGAAAUCAAUAAUGAGUAUAUCAUGUUUUUCCUCAGAAAAUUGAUACCAUGAGGUUUGCAGAAUGCUGUCCUCCUUUGUGAACUGAAUCCACAGAGCCGCUGUUGUCGUUCACAGUCGAUGCAAACAUCAGUGAUAUUAGGAGCUGACCAAGUGAAUGUUAUCUCAGAGAAUGUAGUAAUUCUUUUUGCACUUUCGUUAAACUCUGUGCUUGCGCUUGCAUUAUAAUCCUUUCUGCCUUGAUUGGAAGUGUAGGGUAUCAUGAUCUCUGUCGAAACCACUUUGCAGUAUAACGGGAGAAUUGACACAAAUGCAUAAGGGGCUACCAAGUACAGGGACUGGCUUGCAUUGCUGAGGCAAGAAAUCGGGCCAAAAAUGCUGUCUGUACUGUCCCAUAUGAACUCUUCUGAACAACUUACAAGACUUGCAUAUUGGAACCCAUAUUGUUUGUACACACUGGUUGAAUAAUUUGCAGAAAUUAUCUUCUGAAGUGCGCACUGUGACCAUGACUCUGCAAGAGGGACGAUGUUGAUGACACCAUAUAUAUAGUCUAUUCCAGUUACCUUCGAUAGGCCAAGAACAUGGUGCAGUAGGAGAGUAUCUUGCCCAGAACAUGAUAACUGCAUUCCUGGAGCACCACAAGAUGAAGAGCUGGAUUCAAGCCGGAAGGGAAACUUGAUGUCUGGUCCAUCACUGCUGCAUCGGGAUGGCGGACAGUUUCGGAAGAAAUCUGCCUCGUCCGAUUCUGUGGCCAUGACGGCUCCAUAGUUGAGAAGAGAGAAGAGUAGAGCAGUCACUAGAAAUCUGUGCAUCUUCUGUGUCGAUUGAAGGUGAGGCUGGAAGUACAGAACAGAUGGUGAGAACUAUCAACUAUCUAUUGUUGGGUCCUAAUGCCGUGUUGUGAUGACCCCAUUGUGAUUCUGUGAGUGCAGUCCUCGUCAGCAAUAUUAUCUAAUUCUUUCUUUAAAAAGGGGAUGAGAUUGUGGACUAAUGGACCGCUGCUUUGGAAGUUAGUGUCCAAGCCUGUGUGCACCCAUGUGCUUCAUUCUAUCUGGUCAACAAUGUAUUACACACUGCUUUGACUACUUCCCCCAAAAAAGUACACACUGCUUUGACUCAGGUCAAACUUGGACUUUAUCCAUCAUUCCAUCCUCUCUCCCAGUCCCAUCCUCAACCUCAUAACACUUUCCUAAUUGCCUCAUAUGCGGCCUUCCCAUCCGUAUUGUUUUCAGUUUAUCACACUUGUUGGGUCAUGAAUUUCUGAAGCUGACCAUGGCCAUUUCUGGUGCACUCUUUCUCCCUGGUAUCUUUCAAAGCUUGAGUAUACUAGCUGUUCUUGGGGUUCUUGUUACUAAGAGUGGAGCUGCUGAUUUUCAAGAACAACCAGCUUGCGUUCCUUUCUCCUGUGGACAUCUUGAAGGUAUCAGGUACCCUUUCCGUUUACAAGGUGAUCCACUUGGCUGUGGUGAUGAAGCUUAUGAGCUAGUCUGUAGAGAUGGCAGAGCUAUAAUUCACAUCAACACAGGAAAAUAUUUUGUGAAAGACAUCUCCUAUAACGAGUCUAGAUUUUGGGUUGUUGAUGCUAAUUUAGACAACAGCAGUUGCCCUCUUCCACUGUGGAAUAAUCUUCCCUACUUCAAUGACAUGGGCACUAAGCUGUACACUUCUGCAGUUCGGUGGGCUACAUUUCUAAAUUGCUCACGGGCGAUAAACAAUGGCAUGUACAUGCCUGUUGCUUGCUUGAGUGGGAAUACUUCUUUUGUUUAUGUCUUGACUACAUCGAGCUCUUACUAUGUUCAAAACAUCGAGCCUUCUUGUGGAUACUUGGCUGUGAUUCCUGUGGAUGAUCGUACAAAGAAUGUACCAGACUAUGCAAGCUAUGCAGAUGUUGUGAAAUUCAUGAGGAAUGGUUUUCCUGUUUCGUUUCCUCGAGUUGAAUCCCCAAGUCAUUCUCCAGUCAUCAAAGCCUGUGCGAGAGAUACAUUCCAGUGAGUUUUAGCUCUGUAUCUUUCUCUUGCUUGUUUGAUCAUCUUAUAAAAAAUAUAUAUAUCCUCUUUUGCAAUUCUGCAGAAACUUUAAGGAGCAAAUGUAUAGUAGGAACAUUCAAAACUGGACUUCUGCCAUUAUUGGGACCGAGCUACAAUUUUUAGGAUGUGUAAUUAAUUAUUACUCUAGUGCCACGCAAGUUUGGGUUACUCUCGUUCUGGUAUUUGCCGUAGAGAUUGUUAAGUGCAUUAUAGGUACUCCAGAUAUGCCUUAAUCUAAACUAUUAUAAUUACACCCAAUUUAUCCAUAGAUUCUUAUUCACUUCAUGUUGCAGUACUAUGCAGGUUCAUCUUGGCGCCGUUGACUGUUUUGACCUUCCUCGGUUACAAAUACCGGAAAACAAGGAUAUCUAUCGACGCAGUAGAGAAGUUUCUCCGAAUGCAGCAAGCUCAUGGUCCAAAGAGGUAUGCGUACACAGAAAUCACUGCAAUCACAGGCCAUUUCAGGGAGAAGCUAGGCCAGGGGGGCUAUGGUUCUGUGUACAAAGGUUUCCUUCCUGGCGAUGGUCAUGUUGCUAUCAAGAUGCUGAGCAACUCCAUGUGCAAUGGAGAAGAAUUCAUCAGCGAGGUUUCCACCAUUAGCAGGAUACACCAUGUGAAUGUGGUGCGCCUUGUUGGAUUUUGCUCGGAGGAACUUAGGAGGGCUCUUGUAUAUGAGUACAUGCCCUGUGGAUCUCUAGACAAGUACAUUUUCUCACCCGAGAAGAGUCUAUCUUGGGACAAGCUCAAUGAGAUUGCUCUAGGAAUUGCUAGAGGGAUCGACUACUUGCAUCAUGGUUGUGAUAUGCAGAUCAUGCACUUUGACAUCAAGCCACACAACAUCCUUCUGGAUAGCAACUUCACUCCAAAAGUCGCCGACUUUGGGCUGGCCAAGCUAUACCCAAGGGACGACAGCUUGGUGCCGGUGAGUGCUGCACGGGGAACGAUAGGGUACAUCGCUCCUGAGAUGAUAUCUCGAAGCUUUGGCACCAUUUCAUGCAAGGCUGAUGUUUACAGCUUUGGGAUGUUAUUGCUGGACAUUGCUGGUGGUAGGAGGAACAGGGAGCAGCAUACAUCCAACUCAGCCCAUCUUUAUUACCCAGCUUUGGUGUAUGAUUGCCUAACUCAACAAGAAGUGAGCGAGAUUUCAGAGGAUAUUGGUAUCCACUGGGUAGAAAGGAAGUUGUGCAUUGUUGGGUUCUGGUGCAUUCAGAUGAAACCAGCUGAACGGCCUUCGAUGAGCGAGGUUGUGGAGAUGCUCGAAUCUGAUGAUCCUGAUAACCUGCAGGUACCUCCGAGACCUUUCUUUGGUGUGGAUGAUCACAUCUCUGAGAUGGAUGAUUGCUGCAAUUCUUCAUCAAAGUCAAGUGCAAUCUCAGAGGAUGACUGAAGCAAACUAGGAUAGCGACUUGACAUUCCUGCCCACGUAUAUAUUCAGUUCGUGCCCUGCUUUUUGCCUCAUCUUUUUGCGGGUUAUUUGUUUCGCUUUUUUUCAUCUAUCCCUGUAUAUAUCUUGCUAUAAUUUUCUCCUGCUCUAUUAAUAUAUACAAGGCAAAGCUUUUGCCUUCCUUUAAAAAAAAUAUAUAUUCAGUUCGUGCUUAUACAACAGGGGAUGUUUCUUGACUCUUGUAGAGGUAAGAGGUUAAUAUGAAGAUUAGUAGGACUAAGAAGAAUUCCUCGUUGAUAUUUUCAGGUUGCUAGAUUUUUCAUCAGUACACGACCCUGAUUGUACUGCAUAAAAAGGAAGUAAUAAUAUAGGAGUUUUGAUUGAUGGACUUUGACCUGACCAGAAAUUUGGUCUAGUUUGAGGACAUCUUUGUUACAACACAUGUGCUUCCAUGGAAUUUGAGUUCUGGAGACUGGUGGCAUGUUUUGUGUAGAUUUAGAUGCUUUUUUUUAGCAGGUGGAUGCUACUUUUUAGGGUGACCAGUGAAAACCUCAGGACGUUUAACUCCUUGCCACUUUUAAGAUGUGGCAAAUAGUUAAUUAUUCCAAAAACGUCUGCCAUAAUUUUCUACAGCCACGUAAUCCCAUUCUGGGCCACAAGCGAGUGAGAACCCCUUCCGGUCCAACCAAAGCCCGUAAAGCACAAUUCAUCAGGCCCAUAAUUAAACCUGCACUAUCUGGGGAAUGCUGGGCCGUUGUGCAGUUUUCAUGGGCCUCAACAAUCUCCCUUUUCAAUUCUUUUCGGCCCAAAGUAAUGUGCAGGCACCACACGCAGCCCACCAAAAGCUCGCCAUGGUACUGUGGCAGGUAAAAACUGGGCCUAAGGGUUUGGGCCUUCAUCAGGACCGUGCAAACGGAAUUUUUUUUAUUUAUACUUUUUUUUAUUAAAAUAUUUACAAAAAUAAUUUUUUGUUUCGAAAAUUUACAAAUCUAAUUGCCUGCCGCCCUUAAGAAGGGCGAUUUUUAAAAAUCGCCCUCUCAAAGGGCGGCAAGGGACCUAAAUACAAAAUUUUUAUUUGUGUUCAAACCCUUCCCACCGGUUUUAAUUACUUAAAAACUAAUAAUGCUUAUUCGAUACUCCAAAUGAUUUUAAAUGGAAAAGUGAUAAACUACAAAGUUAUAGAUCUCAUCAAGAUCUACAACUUUUAUAUAAAGUUUAUCUCCAUCCAAUAUCGUUUGAAAUAUAGAUCUGAGAUUUUUUAAAAUGUGUUUUAUAUUUUGUAACGAAUAUUUGGAUAUCUAAAACAUCUUAAAUGAAAAAGUUACUAACUACAAAGUUGUAGAUCUCCUUGAGCUCUACAAUUUUGAUAUAAAGUUUUAUUUCAUCUGACUUUAUAUAAUAUAAUUUUAAAUUGUAAAAUUAUAGAGCUAACAAGUUAUGCUGGAAAAUUUACAUUUAGGUCCCUUGCCGCCCUGUGGAAGGGCGAUUUUUAAAAAUCGCCCUUCUUGAGGGCGGCAGGCGAUUAGAUUUGUAAAUUUUCGAAACAAAAAAUUAUUUUUGUAAAUAUUUUAAUAAAAAAAAGUAUAAAUAAAAAAAAUUCGUGCAAACGUUGGCCGAGCGGCACAGUGAGCGAGUCGCUGUCAAACUGAACCGCCGGCCAUCUUCUCGCGUGCCGGCCUCCGUCGCUCGCCGGAGUAUAACCACAGCAUCUACAACCAUAAUCCUCCACAUGAAUAGAAAAGCAGUAUCUAAGGCACGUUUUUAAUUCUGCCUGCCCUUAUUGUAGCCUUGAAUACCAUUCUUUGGUUCGUAGCAAUCUCGCUCAUCAAACUUAAGUGCGAGCAAUACUGCUCACUGACAUGUGGGCCCCACAGACCCUCGGGCCCACAUGUCAGUGAGCAGCAGAGGAUCUGGAUUGCUUGACGAUACUAGAAAACAUCCAUGUUGCUCCAAGACCUUGAGAAAUGAUCGACAUCACAAAAUUUGGACGUCCCAAUCACAACGUCGCGGCGAAGGAGACAUUUUGGCUCCCAUUGUUGGCGACAUGUCAAGCGUCCGUGCCUCGACUACGAAAUUAAUUAAGAAAUUCUUGAUGACCAAAAUUACUGGCACAUGAAAACGAGAGUAAAUUAAGAAGCAAAACAGUCACUACUCGUAACAUGGUAUAGGUGGUUGACCGUAGGCCGUCGAGCUUGUUCAACAUGUAGACCAUGGAUACGGUCAUGGCCUCUUCUUAUCCAUCGUUCAACUCAAGCAGCAGGUAGCUUUGGCACUAUAUAUACGACGUGAGGCUUUGGUUUUAAUUAUUAUUAAGUGAAAACAGCAUGCGGUCAGUGGUUUUGGCACCAUAUAUAGAACAUAGUGACCACUAUACAUCGGGAAAACAAAACAAAGUUUUGGUGAAUGGAGAGCAGCAUACUACUAGAACAUAUUGACCAUUAUAUAUACUAUGCUCAAAUUUGUACUAAUUGGUUUGACAUAGUUUUUCAAUUAUAGGUGGUGAGCUUUGUAAUUUAAAGGUUAUAAUUCCAUGUGUCUAAACAUGGUAUGCUUUCAUUAUUUCAACUUGAAGUGUAGCAUCUACUCCUUCUGUCCCAUUUUAAGUACAACCAUGGUUUUCCACGCCCAACUUUGAUCGUCUGUCUUAUUUAAAAAUUUUUGAAAAAAAAAAUAAAAAUAUAAGCCACGAGUAAAGUACUAUUCAUAUUUUAUCAUCUCGUAACAACAAAAAUACUAAUUAUAAAAAAAAAAUUAAAUAAGACGGACGAUAAAAAUUGAGCGUGGAAACUCAUGAUUGCACUUAAAAUGGGACGGAUGGAAAUAGUAAAUACUAAACAAAAAUACUAAGUAGAAGACUGAGACCGAGACAGUGCAUUUAGAGAUGCUGAUGAGCUGAGAAACCUGAUCAGUUGGACGAGGUAAACAAGUGGUGGAUAUGAGGUGAGGCUGAAAUCAUGCUAUGACUUUAGUGGCUAGAGUCAGCCGGAUCAACCUGUUAAUUCUGUCAAAAAAAAAGAAGAAGAGAGAGACGUGUUAAUUACAGCUAAAAAACUUUCUAAUCCAAAGGCAACCGAACCAUGAAUCCAUGACACAAAUGGCGGCAGUGUCUACUUGUUGCACUCACCAUCUCCUACCUCUACUCCUCCUCGCUGCCAUAGUCGCCACCACCACCACCAACCACGCCGCCGCCGCCGCCACGUUGAACAUCACCAACCUAUGCCCCUUCACCGUGUGGCCGGCCGCCGUGCCGGUGGGCGGCGGCAGGCGGCUCGACCCGGGCACGUCGUGGGCGCUCGACGUGCCCGCCGGCGCCGCCCCGGGCCGCGUGUGGGCGCGCACGGGCUGCACCUUCGACGCCACCGGCGCCAACGGGACGUGCCUGACGGGCGACUGCGGCGGCGCGCUGUCGUGCACGGGCUACGGCGAGCCGCCGCAGACGCUCGCCGAGUUCUCGCUCGGCCAGGCCGACGGCCAGGACCUCUUCGACAUCUCCCUCGUCGACGGCUUCAACGUGCCCAUGGACUUCCUCCCGGCGCCGCCGCCGGAUCAGUCACCGCCGUGCAGCAAGGGGCCACGGUGUCCGGCCAACGUCACGGCACAGUGCCCCGGCGAGCUCAGAGCUCAUGGAGGCUGCAACAGCGCGUGCAGAGUGUUCAAGCAGGACAAAUACUGCUGCACUGGCAACGGGACGAACACCUGCGAACCCACCACCUACUCGCUGCCAUUUGUGAGGAUGUGCCCGGACGCCUAUAGCUACUCCAGGAACGAUGCAUCCAGCCCAGGGUUCACUUGCCCGUCAGGUACAAAUUACCAGAUCAUCUUCUGCCCCCCAAUUGAUCUCACAUCUUCAUCUCCUGCAUCAAUUGCUGUUGCUGCAAAUAACAGACAAGGAAAAAAGGUUAUUGCCGGGAUCAUCAUAGCUUCUGUAAUCGGCUCCACUUCAGUACUCACCAUGGUUAUGGCUUACACCAGCAUCAAGCGAAGAACACGACGGCGCCGGGAGAUACGUGAAGAGGAGCAGGAGCUUGAGGAGAUAACCCUUCAAGGAAUGCCAAGGAGGUUCACAUUUCAGCAGCUACAGGAAGCAACCGAUCAGUUCAGAGAUAAGCUCGGUGAAGGAGGAUUUGGGUCGGUUUUCUUGGGACAGAUUGGAGACGAAAGAGUUGCGGUGAAACGCCUGGAUCGAAAUGGUCAGGGGAUGAGAGAAUUCUUGGCAGAGGUUCAGACGAUCGGCAGCAUCCACCAUAUCAAUCUGGUGAGGCUGAUUGGAUUCUGUGCAGAGAAAUCACAGAGGCUCUUGGUUUAUGAGCAUAUGCCCAAAGGUUCCUUGGACAGGUGGAUCUAUCACCAGCAAGGUGCUGCUAUUUUUCCUAGUGUUCCUCCUCUAGAUUGGCAAACACGAUACAAAAUUAUUACCCAAGUAGCCAAAGGUCUCUCAUACCUUCAUGAGGAGUGCACAAAGAGAAUUGCUCACUUGGAUGUAAAACCACAAAAUAUCCUCCUGGAUGACAAAUUCAAUGCUAAACUCUCUGAUUUUGGACUAUGCAAGCUCAUUGAUCGAGAUAAGAGCCAAGUGAUUACAAGAAUGAGAGGCACACCUGGAUAUUUAGCUCCUGAAUGGCUGACAUCGCAGAUCACAGAAAAGGCAGAUGUCUAUAGCUUUGGCAUAGUAGUCAUGGAAAUCAUCAGCGGAAGAAAGAAUGUUGACACUUCCCGGUCUGAACAGAGCAUCCAUCUAAUUACCUUAUUGCAAGAAAAGGUGAAGAGUGAUCAGUUGGUAGAUUUGAUUGACAAAGAUAAUAAUGACAUGCAAGUACACGAGCAAGAAGUAAUAGAGAUGAUGAAAUUUGCAAUGUGGUGUUUGCAGAUCGAUUGCAAAAGGAGGCCUCAAAUGUCUGAGGUUGUAAAAGCAUUGGAAGGCACCAUAAGUAUCGAAACUAACAUAGUUCAUGAUUUUGUCGCAGUAAAUCCAGUAAGCUUUGGUUUUACUGCAGUUGUGGGCUCAGCUCCACCUCUUGCCUCAGAUCUAUCCGGACCCAGGUGACUGACGCAAUUUUGAUGGUAUACUAGAACAUGUGCGCUUUUGGGUCAGAAAAAGGCAUAGCAUAUACGCUGUUGCAUUCUCAGAAAACUAUAAUGUGAUAGCAUCAUACCUUCAAAUCAUUUACAUUUUUUAAUAUUGCAAUUUUCGUUCAAGAAGAACAUCUCAAUAUUGUUUGAUUGUUUCUGUUGAACUUGCCCUAUUAGCAAAUCUGAUCCUGGUUCAUACAUGUGAAACCAAUAGCUCUUCUUACAUAUCAAAAUGGUCAUAGCUCUCAUGGCACUUUCAACCAUAAUUCAGUAGUACUUUCUCAUGGCACAAAUACAACUUUUAUCGUAUGCAAAUGAAUAGCGUACCACAAGAUCACAUUUUUCUCGUUCCAGCUUUAUACUCUGUUAUUCCCUAAAAAAAAUCACUUUCAAAUUACAACAAUGCGAUGAAACAUCUGUUUACAACAAUAUGUAGCCUCAGUUUUACAACCUACCUACCACCUUAUCUGAGAAAAAACAACAACCAACUUAGUACCUUGACUUUUUGGCAUCAAAGCACAUGCAUAAGCUUCAGCCAUCCUCCUCUGAGAUUUCAGUUAGCUCAGAGGAGAAACGGUAAGAAUCCACCAACAGGGGCAGGGGUUCAUCAUCGCAGAAGAAUGGCCUGGAAGGCAGCUGCAGACCAUCAACAUCACCUUCAAGCAUUUCUAUGACCUCACUCAUCGUUGGACGAUCAGGAGGCUUCACCUGAAUGCAAUGUAGACCAACAACACACAACUUCCUUUCCAGCUCAUGCAUAUUCAAGGUAUUGGUGAUCUCACCCAUCUCUUGUUGAAUGAGUUGAUUAUACACCAAUGAUGGAUAAUACACCUGGGUUGAGCUUGACAUGUUCUGCUUAGAGUUCCUUCGCCCUCCAGCCAUCUCUAACAAAAGCAUUCCAAAGCUGUAAACAUCAGAUUUGCUAGAUAUGACACCGAAGCUUCGAGAUAUCAUCUCAGGAGCAAUAUAACCUACUGUUCCUCGUGCAGCGCUAACUGGCACAUAAUUGUUGUCCCGUGGGCAUAGUUUGGCGAGGCCAAAAUCGGCAACUUUUGGGACGAAAUUGCUAUCAAGAAGGAUGUUGUGUGGCUUGAUAUCAAAAUGUAGAAUCUGCAUAUCACACCCUUGAUGCAAGUAGUUUAUUCCUCUAGCAAUGCCCAGUGCAAUCUCAUUGAGCUUGUCCCAGGAGAAGCUCUUUUCAGGUGCGAAGAUGAACUUGUCGAGAGAUCCAUGGGGCAUGUACUCGUACACUAGUGCCCUCCUCAUUUCCUCUGCACAAAACCCCACCAGACGCACAACAUUGACAUGAUGGAUACUACCGAUGGUGGAGACCUCACUGAUGAACUCUUCUCCGUUGCAAUUGUAGUUGUCUAGCAUCUUGAUGGCAACGUAAACAUCACCCGGGAGUAUGACACCCUUGAAUACAGAACCGUAACCACCCUGACCUAGCUUGUCUCUGAAAUGGCUUGUCAUUGCAAUGAUAUCUGUGUAGGUGUACCUCGUCGGGCCAAGCAUCAACUGCAUUCGCAGAAACUUCUCAACUGCAUCGAUUGUGAUCCUUGUUUUCCAGUAUCUUUGUGCAAGAAAAGUCAAUAGUGCCAGUGGCGCCAACACAAACCUGCAUAUGACUGCAUAAAAACAUGUUUAGAUACAUGGGAAUGAUGUGCUUAGAGUGAUGCAGCGGCAUCAAUCACAUGUAGCAUAACAACAAGUUUAUAAAAAGCAUGUGUAUUGUAGAGUACCAUAUAUCCACUUUACUGUCCACAUGACAAAUUGUAGGACAAAUCCUGAAUAAAAUAUUCUUUUCCCAUGAAGCAUCUCCACCAUAUAGAGUGGUGUCUCAAAAUAAUCUGAUGUUUGGCUCGUUUUGCCAAUUAUGCAUGCCCAAAAGAUCAAGUCCAUAAAAACAAUGUCCGCAAUCCGAUUUUUGACAUGUGCAGUAGUGGAGAAUGGUUCUUCACGAAAACCACUGCAAGGCCAAUGACAUGGUAGAAAAAAAGUCUUAACAACGGUACCAAGUAUUUACUUAAAAAACGAUUAUUUAUGGGCAAAAUUAAACUAAGAUACCGAAACUCACCGAAUUGACCGGUUUAGGCACUGCUUGAUUAGCUCAAAUGCAGUCGGAUGAUCUAAGACAAAAGGAAAGCGAACAGAGAAUCCCUUCCUCAUCAACUCAGCAAAAUAUUGGUAUUUUUUACCACUGGCAGGAGUCCAACUAACUGGAAUCAUGGCCAAGUAUCCGCAAGAAGGCUCAAGAUUUUCCAUAAGAGCGUAAUAUGGUGCGACAUUCAGCACAUAGACAAAUGAAGAGCUCGUGUUCUGGCAAUCCACAUGUAUGUACUUGUUAUUGUUCUUCACUGCCUGCGAACAAUUGACAAAGGUCGCCCACCAUAUUCCCUGAAGAGUCAAUUCCCUGGUGUAGCUUGGCCCUGGAAUCCCCCAAAUGAAAGGACGAUGAUUGGAGCGAGGAAGAGGGCAGUUGCUGUUUGCAUCCUGCAGGUUGGCGUCCACGACCCAGAAGGACGAAUCGUUGUAGUUGAUGCUAGUGACAUAGUAUGUUCCUGUAUUGAUCUGGAUGGUGGCCUUGCCACUGCUACACUCUAGCUCAUAUGAUGAAACACCGCACCUGUGAGGGUCGCCUCUCCGCCAGAAAGGAUGACUUAUGUUUGAGAGAUGGCCGCAGGAGAAAGGCUGGCACCACUGCUGUCCCUGGACAACUCCUGCGAGAACUGCAAGUAUAGCAAAGAUGAGUAAGGCUUGCAUUGUAAUGGUAGUAGAGGGGGAAGCUGGCAGAGUUGCUCAGUCCACAGGCUGGUUAUAGUAGACUAGCAGCUUGCUGCACCUACAUAUAUAAGAAUAGUUUUUUUUUGGCUGAUACAGUUUGGUCCUAUGCAUAAGAUUCAUAGUAAGGGACCGAAGUCAGUUCGUCAAAGAAAACCUUAAAUUGUUAUGUUGACAUGGACUGCAUAUCAGCAUAAGAUUCAUAUAAAGGGACAGGGUAACAACACAGAAGGAUGUUGCACUUACGUAGCAACACCUAGUUAGACUAAGCCUAGUCAAAUUUGGACUUUUACGUGGUGGCCUGCUAUAUAUAUCACCCUGGACCCCCUUCAUUAACGAUGAGAUACUUUAACCAGCCCCCUUGUAAAUAAGCUUUUUUUUUUGGAACGAAGCUUAUAAAUAAGCUAGGGUUGAUUAUUAGAUACACACACUUGCAGUAUAUUGAUUGAUUAAUUGCAUAUGUUUCCACCUUAAUUCCCUGUCCAUCUCUGGCCGUUUCAGUGCACAAAGAUGAGUAAAGUCAUUGCAACAACACUCCUCCUCUCCGUCAUCAGCCAUGGCGCCUACCCGGCCAUGGGUUCAGCUUGGGAGGAGGAAGACUUCGCCAGAAAUUGUCCACCGUCCUGGUGCAGUGACAGUGGACCAGAGAUCCGGUUCCCUCACCAGCUUGAAUCCAGCAACUCAUCUUCAUCAUCAUCAUGCAGUGCUUCAUGCGCGAGGCUAGCAUGCUCUGGUCCAGACACCAUCCUGCAUCACCCAUUUCUGGGGCCAUGCAAGGUAACUGCCAUAGAUUACAAGAAAGCUGUUUUCCAGAUCAUCCCGCUCGUAGACUCAUUGUCUUCAUACCCGCUUCAGAAGCUCAUCAUCGACAAUCUACCGGAACCAGAUUAUCAUUCCAGUCGCUGUUCAUUAUACAAUGCCCAGCCUGGGAAAAUAGUAUGCUGUUCAAAAGUGCUCACACCAAGUAUGUCUCCGACCAAUGACUAUGAUGGGAAUAUUGCUGAUCAUGCUGUCGUGGGCCCAAUCUCCUGCCUCAGUGACCCAAGCCACUUCUCAUAUUUGGUGGAUGCUUAUGAAGACAUUUAUUCACUUCCAUUGGACUGCAAGGCUGUCUCUAAAGGCAUUGUUCCGAUAUCCGGUGCAGUCACCGCUGAUGGUCCAACGUUCAAGCAACUGGCAGAAAGAAUCCUCAACUUUGCUGAGACAACUGUAAGUUGGUCCGAGGGAGGCAUUCCUGACAAUUGUGUGCAGUGUGAACAGCAAGGACAACGCUGCGCAUUCAGCUCACAAAGGAAUCAAACAUUCUGCAUGGGCCACAAACCUCAUGGUACCAUCCUAAUCAGAUACCAAAACAUUAUAUGACAGCAUAAGUGCAUAACUCAUGUUUUAUUUCCUCAUCAUACUUUCCUUUUAAGUUCGUGCACUUAAUUUACUAAUGAUAAUAUGAUAUACUACUCCUUUAGUUCACAGACACUUCCAUGAGAUAGCUAUAAAUAGGUAUUUUGCAACUCGCACUACAAACCAUUUGGCUAGGUAGCUUCACCUUACAAAGAGUCAUCCCUAGAACUUCAGAACAAGAAGUGCAUUGAUGAAGCACCUUUGCUGUUGUUAUAAGUGCAUGAUUACACCCACCAAUAAUUAAAUCUUAGUGCCCACAUCCUAGUUAGUAUAUGAUAAAACGGGAACUGCAGUUAGAUGUUUGGUUGCUUUGAUGAAUAAUCAGUUCACACUGCGAGUGAUUUGUGAAAAAAAAUCAUGAGCCAUAACCCUUGAUCCACUUUAUUCACCUUAACCAACCUCAAUCUGGCAUAACACUCAAUCCCCAGAGAUGCUUUGGAGAAACAGCUUCUAAUGCAUUGAUGAAAGGAACAACUGUCUGUUACAUAUAUGUUCACAUAAUCACAUUAACAUUACAUUUAUUCCCCUAAAACGAAAACUUCUAUCAUAUCUAUUGCUAUAUUGAAUCUUACUAUGUUUUCAUAAGUAUAUUUCUGUUUCAUCUGUUAAACUAUUAACAAUCUUACUAUAUUGUUUGGUAUUUGCAGGUUCACGUGUCAAAGUCAUUGCAGGUACUGCAGUAAUUCAAAGUUCAAACCUCCGUUUUUUUAUCAAAAGAGAAGAAAAGAAACAGAGUUAUCUGCCACACGUAUUUUUUUCUUGUUGGCUGCUCUAACUCUACAUUCUUCUGUCAAAAAGACACUACAUUCUCUUAUACCCAUCACAAUCAUUUGCUCAAUAGGGGAUAGCUUUCUGUCCUGAUGCAAUGUGCUAAUUUUCUAUUCUGUAUCUAUUCAGCAACAUCAUCGGUAGCUGCAUUUGUUGUUAUUUCAUUGGUGGUGGCCACUGCAAUCUAUCUCUCCCUGAAGCUAAGUUAUAAUGAAGAGGUGCACUUGAAGGUUGAAAUGUUUCUAAGGACAUAUGGCACAUCUAAACCUACAAGGUAUACUUUCUCUGAAGUAAAGAAGAUAGCAAGAUGCUUCAAGGAAAAAGUAGGCCAAGGUGGAUUUGGAACUGUAUACAAAGGAAAGCUACCAAAUGGAGUGCCUGUGGCAGUCAAGAUGCUAGAGAACCCUACAGGGGAUGGAGAAGAGUUCAUUAAUGAAGUUGCAACCAUUGGAACGAUCCACCAUACAAACAUUGUCCGUCUCCUAGGUUUCUGCUCUGAAGGAACAAGACGUGCUCUUGUUUAUGAAUUGAUGCCUAACGAGUCAUUGGAGAAAUAUAUAUUCUUGCGUGAUCCUAAUACUCAAGAGCUCCUGUCACCAGACAAGAUGCUAGAUAUUGCUUUAGGCAUUGCCCGAGGAAUGGAGUACCUGCAUCAAGGAUGCAACCAGCGCAUCCUCCACUUUGAUAUCAAGCCUCAUAAUAUCUUGCUGGACUAUAACUUCAGUCCAAAGAUUUCGGACUUUGGUCUUGCAAAGCUGUGCCCAAGGGACCAAAGCAUUAUUACCUUGACCAAAGCAAGAGGCACAAUGGGAUACAUUGCACCGGAGCUAUAUUCUAGGAACUUUGGGGAGAUAUCUUACAAGUCAGAUGUUUACAGUUUUGGCAUGGUUGUUUUAGAAAUGGUGAGUGGAAGGAGGAGCUGGGACCCAAGUAUUGAGAACCAAAAUGAGGUAUACUUUCCAGAGUGGAUCUAUGAGAAAGUAAUUACAGAGCAGGACUUCAUACUUAGUAGGGAAAUGACAGAAGAAGAGAAACAAAUGGUGAGACAGCUGGCCCUUGUGGCACUGUGGUGUAUUCAGUGGAACCCAAGAAAUCGGCCCUCAAUGACAAAGGCUGUAAACAUGAUAACUGGAAGGUUGCAGAACAUACAGGUGCCUCCUAAGCCAUUUGUUUCGUAUGAAAGCCAUCCUAUGCCAUAAACCAUGGAAACUACACCACAAUGGCUUAGUAAAUUUUUGGGACUUAUACUUUAUCCACAUGAUGCAUAGUAAUGUAACGCCUAGAUAUUGCAUAAUAUGUACUUUGAUCAUUCCACUGUAUUAGCCAUCUGAGGUGAGUUCACCAUGUAACACAGUUAAGCAGAAAAGCAUCGCAUUGAACUCAACCUGCAACAUAGUGGUUCAGUCGUGGUGAUUACCUUGUUCAGUCGUUGCUGUGGUGUAUCUCCUACUGUACUGUACUCCUAGCUGCACUAGUCAGUCAGAUACUCCCAUUGGCCUUUUCAUGGGUCAGUAUUCUGAUGGAUAUUUUGCAAGACAAUGCUGCAAGGAAAUUGUAAAUCUAGUGUUAUCAAAUGGAUGCAUUAAAUUGGGUUUGAGCACGCUUUAUGUUUAAAACAAAUGAAUAGCAAAGCAAAGGGAUCACCAUUACCAUUGUCUAUUUGUCAAUGACAAAUGCCAGUAAGAAGUUUCCUUUUGUUGCAUAUUCCUCCUAUCCAUGCGCCAUUGAAAGAGCCAGGGCCUGAAUAUGUGAGGGAAACGUGAGAAGACAACGCUGUAGGGCAGAAAAUCAACCAUGCCAUGAUACUAAAGCAUGUCGCAAAAUAAAUACCUCCAUCAUCAAAUGUCAGGGAGGGGGAAGCAAUCUGCCGUGGAAACCAUCGCCGGGCGUCGUGGUGGCGUUUCUAGAGAUCCGCGGCGGAGCGCGGGGUCGGGGCAGGGCGAGCUCAACCGCUGGAUGCGCUCAGAGCCAGGGCAGCCACGCGCAGUGGCGCUGGGAGCCUGGAAGUCGGGUUGAUUUUGGCGCCGGCACCGGCGGCGCCGCCGCCGUCUGCUGGAGCGCCGCCGCAGCCCGCAGGUCGAUGGGGAGGGGGGAACUGUGGGGACUGGGUUCAAGCCCAACACACUAUCCCGUUCGGGCCCAAGCUCAUUCAAUGUUAUUCCGUCCUGGCCCAUCACAGAGGCAACCUUGCUGAAUCCGGCCCACAGCUAGACGUAGGCCGGGCUUAAGUUGACGCAGAUGAGCAGUAGAUAAAAUGCAUACAAAGAUCGAAAGUGAGAUGAACUCAAGGCAUUACGCAAAUGGGCGCGCUGAGUUCCUGUUUCAAACCCUUCAAACAUAAUCAGCAUGUUUUCUGGAAGUGGCCCCGACAAAAAGAAAUUGCUGAGAGCGACACAUCUAUCAGAUAUAUUGGAGAGCAAAUUGUUGCAAGAUAUCCAAAUCACCACAGAAUUACUACAAAAAAGUUUUAACACAUCAUGCCGGAUAGUCCACAGGUCGCCGCCGGUCAGGGAUCAACAACAUCAACUAGGAGAUCGUCACCGACCUGCACUGCACCAGGAUUGCACCAUCGUCACCUGCAACUUUUGGGCAGACAGGUAUGAAAAUCAUCCAUAGGUAGUAGAACAAGUACGGUAUCUCGUCAAACUCUCGUAUAUAAUUUGUUGUGACAUAAUUGGAUGAUAGAAAUAUACACGACCUUAAGAGAGAGAUUCCAACACCACACGGUAACAGUUAAGGUGAAAGAAAGAGACAUUUUGGGCGCCACACUGUUGACGGCAGGCAUGGUUGGCAAGUCAAAAAGGGCGUCAUAGAACGCUGAAAAAGAUGAGGAAAGCACGCAACCACGUAGUAAUCACAGGAUCUAUGAUAUGCUUGCAGGCAAAUCAAAACAAUUGCUAGGUCGUUGACCGAAGACCGUUGAACAAUUCAACACGCAGACCAUGUGAACUUACACAACAUACUGAUCGAUCUGCUGUCUCCUUCUUCCGCUCUACAAACGGAGUCAGGCAAUCGAAUCACAACACAAAUGGCAGCGGGGAGUACCAUCAGUACUAGUCGCCGCACUCACCACCUUGUGACUCUGCUGCUCCUCGUUGCCGCCAGCACCAACUACGCCGCCGGAGCCACGCUGAACAUCACCAACCGAUGCUCCUUCACCGUGUGGCCGGCCGCCGUGCCGGUGGGUGGCGGCAUGCGGCUCGACCCAGGCGAGUCGUGGGCGCUCGACGUGCCCGCCAACAGCGGCGCAGGGCGUGUGUGGGCGCGCACAGGCUGCUCAUUCGAUGCCAAUGGCAACGGAUCGUGCCAGACGGGAGACUGCGGCGGCGUGCUCAAGUGCAAGAACAGCGGCAAGCCACCUCAGACGCUCGCUGAGUUCACGGUGGACCAGACCAGCGUACAGGAUUUCUUCGACAUCUCCCUCACCGACGGCUUCAACGUGCCCAUGGACUUCCUCCCCGUGCCGGCUCCGGAGCAGAGGCACGGAGCACCACCGUGCAGCAAGGGGCCACGCUGCCCGGCCAACAUCACGUCGCAGUGCCCCAGCGAGCUCAAGGCGCCUGGAGGCUGCAACAGCGCCUGCAAUGUGUUCAAGCAAGACAAAUACUGCUGCACUGGCACCACUGGCACCAAAACCUGCGAACCCACCACCUUCUCACUGCCAUUCGUCAGGAUGUGCCCUGACGCAUAUAGCUACAGUUUGGAUGACAGCUCCAGCACUACAUUCACUUGCCCGUCAGGGACAAACUACCAGAUCAUCUUCUGCCCUCCAACUGAUCUCACGUCUUCAUCUCCGGUUCCUCCUCCUGCACCUAUUGCUAUUGGGCCUUCAGGCUUGGAUUCCUCAUCCAAAAGAGGAGGAAGGCUUGUUGCCACUAUCGUGGUCUCUGUGAUCGGCUCUACUUCAGUACUCACCAUUAUCAUCGCUUCCAUCAUUAUCAUCAAACGAAGAAUACGAAGACACCAGGAGAUGCAAGAAGAGGAACAAGAGUUUGAGGAGCUACCCCUUCAAGGAAUGCCGAGGAGGUUCACAUUUCAGCAGCUACAAGAAGCAACUGAUCAAUUCAGAGACAAGCUCGGUCAAGGGGGGUUUGGGUCUGUUUUCCUGGGACAGAUUGGAGGUGAAAGAGUAGCGGUGAAACGCUUGGAUCAAAGUGGUCAGGGAAUGAGAGAAUUUAUGGCAGAGGUUCAGACAAUCGGCAGCAUUCACCAUAUCAAUCUAGUGAGGCUGAUUGGCUUCUGUGCAGAGAAAUCACAAAGGCUUUUGGUUUAUGAGCAUAUGCCCAAAGGAUCCUUGGACAGGUGGCUCUAUCACCAGCAAGGUUCUCCUGCUCCUGCUCUAGAUUGGUGGACACGAUACAAGAUUAUUACUCAAGUAGCCAAGGGUCUCUCUUAUCUUCAUGAGGAGUGCAUGAUGAGAAUUGCUCACUUAGAUGUAAAACCACAAAAUAUCCUCCUAGACGACAACUUCAAUGCUAAACUUUCUGAUUUUGGUCUAUGCAAGCUUAUUGAUCGAGAUAAGAGUCAAGUGAUUACCAGAAUGAGAGGCACACCUGGAUAUUUAGCUCCAGAAUGGCUGACAUCGCAGAUCACAGAAAAGGCAGAUGUCUAUAGCUUUGGCAUAGUAGUCAUGGAAAUGAUCAGUGGGAGAAAGAACCUUGACACUUCCAGGUCUGAACAGAGUAUCCAUCUAAUUACCUUACUGCAAGAAAAGGUGAAGGGUGAUCAGUUGGCAGAUUUGAUUGACAAGCACAGCAAUGAUAUGCAAGUACACCGGCAAGAAAUAAUUGAGAUGAUGAAACUCGCAAUGUGGUGUUUGCAGAUUGAUUGCAAAAGAAGGCCUCAAAUGUCUGAGGUUGUCAAAGUUUUGGAAGGCACCACAAGUAUUGAGACUGACAUAGACCAUGACUUCGUCGCAACAAAUCCAGUAAGCUUUGGUGUUGCUGGAAUUGUGGACUCCGACCCCCCUGUAGCAUCUAAUUUAUCAGGCCCCAGGUGAAUGAGGUGAUUGUAGUGGCAUGAUAUCUUGCAAUGAUUUAAAUUGUUGGAUACUGCAGAACAUAUUCGAUCGACAAUAGAUGAGAACUCCAAAGUUCAUUUUGUUAUGCUUUCCUUUUUAGCACGAAACUGAUCCUGGUUGUUAUAGAUGAACCCCAUACCAUGCUUUAAUUUGGUCGUAGCUCUUCUAGAGAAGGACAACACGCAUUGGAAACAAAUUGGGAAUUUGGGAGACUGAUUCAUGCAAAUUGCAUAUUUCUAUGCAGAUUUUCCUACUAUGACUUAUUAGUAACCAGGUGGCUUUUAGUUCCUCUACAAAGGUGAUUUUCAGAUGCAUUAAAUUUUCAGUAUUUUCCUCUGGCAUAUAGAUAAUAGUGAUGUAAAUAUGGUUCCUAAGUUGAGAGGUAACAAAAUUACAGCCUUCAAGAAAACCCCUGAACCAAACGGACCCUAAAACUCCACAAAAUCAGGUCAAUGCCGCGAUGGAUUGAAUAGUGAUGGUAGCGUGAAAAACAAAAUCAAGCAGGUAAUAUUCAGAUUCAAGCAGAACUAGUAUGCAGUUGUGGUAAUAUAGAGAGGCACAGUAUUAUUUAGAUGAAGAAAUCUUACUCUACACUAGCGGUCAGAAUACACUUCGCUUUGAACAAGCCAACUCCACGGCAGCAGAUCUCGAAUAGUGAUAGCUCCCGGAGGUGACCCUCAUCGGAGCAAUCCGAUUUGAGAUGUGGCGUACCUGCACUCACGCAGUGGCGCAUGGGAACAGUUUCACCGCCACUCUAUAAGAUCUUCUUCGGCGGGUCGAUUCAGACCAUUUUUCCGCCGCCGCCGCCACCUGCGGCCGGAUCAACGGCGGAGGUUGCCAUGGUGGACGACGGAGUGGAGAGCGAAGAAGAGGAAGAGGACGCUCCCGUACGCGUCUCGGCCCACACGUAAUCCGGCGCGGCUGCGUCCAUACCGGCCCAGAAUUAGACCUCUCAGUUGGGCUUUACUGAUUCGGCCCACAAGCUUAGGCACACUGCAUUUGAGGUGGGCUAUUACUGUGGGCCUUCAUUAAGCGACGCUACUCCACUAUCACAACGUACUUAUAACUGUCAAAAACACGGCGAUGAGUUAGACGACGAAACCUCCAAAAAAAAAUAGUCAGACGACGAAACUGUUCAUCAUGUCAUAGUACGAGAAAAGCUGCCUGCUUUGGAUGCGAAAAACGAUACCAUUUCUACAAAUUUCUGCACGCAUGCAUAAAAACAUCAAAAGGCGACAUCGCAAGUCAUCAACAUACUGACCACGCUGUUUGUCUGGCUGAUCGAUUAGUCAAAACCUAACCAGCGCUUGUUCUCAUAGUAAGAAUUUUUAUUUUUUUGUUUUUUUUUUUUUUGCGGGGAAGAAUUUUUGUUUGUUUGACACUGGAACUAACUGAUAGUCAGAUUUGCACCAUUGACAAAUUGGAUUACAGCUCCCAGCGAUAAUCGGCUGUCCUAAUCGUCACAUUUUCAGCAAAAACAGCUCCAUAUCUUGUACCAUCGCCCAAUUUUCAUACACAGUAACUAUGAAACGGUGACAUCCCCAUCACAAAUUUAGGACAAAUCAAAGAUUUUUCAGUCAAAAGAUGACCCAGUUAGUCAAGGAAGGCAGCUGCCUCCUGCCCCCAUGCACACUUACAACCUCCAGACAAACUCCAGAAUGCAGACUCUCAGGUUGCAGUGAUCCGAAUGCCACGACAAAGCAGAGAGCAAAAAAUUUAAGUACUAGCACUUUCAGCCAUAAUUCAGUACUACUUUCUCAUGGUAGAAAAUACAACUUUAUCAUAUGCAAAAAUAAAUAGCAUACCACAAGAUCACAUUUUCUUGCUCCUGCUUUAUACUCUGUUAUUCCCUAAAACAAGAUAACCUCCAAAUUUCAACAAUGCCAAGGGAACAUAUCCCUCAGCGUUUUACAACUUACUUACCACCUUUCCUAUUUGGCAUCAAAGCACAUGCACAAGCUUCACUCAUCCUCCUCUGAGAUUUCAGUUAGUUCAGAGGAGAAACGGCAAGAAUCCACUAGCAGUGGCAGGGGUUCAUCAUCGCAGAAGAAUGGCCUUGAAGGCAGCUGCAGACCACCAACAUCACCUUCAAGCAUUUCUAUGACCUCACUCAUCGUUGGACGAUCAUGAGACUUCAUUUGAAUGCAAUGUAGACCAACAACACACAACUUCUUUUCCAGCUCAUGCAUAUUGAAGGCAUUGGCAAUCUCACCCAUCUUUUGUUGAACCAGCUGAUUAUACACCCAAGAUGGAUAAUAUGACUGGCUUGAGCUCGACAUGUUCUGCUUAGAAUUCCUUCGCCCUCCAGCCAUCUCCAACAGAAGCAUUCCAAAGCUAUAAACAUCAGAUUUGCUAGAUAUGAUACCAAAGCUCCGAGAUAUCAUCUCAGGAGCAAUAUAACCUACUGUUCCUCGUGCAGCGCUAACUGGCAUAAAACUGUUAUCCCGUGGGUACAGUUUGGCAAGGCCAAAAUCGGCAACUUUUGGGACAAAAUUGCUAUCAAGAAGGAUGUUGUGCGGCUUGAUAUCAAAAUGUAGAAUCUGCAUAUCACACCCCUGAUGUAAGUAGUUUAUUCCUCUAGCAAUGCCCAAUGCGAUCUCAUUGAGCUUGUCCCAAGAGAGACUCUUGUCAGGAGAGAAGAUGAACCUGUCAAGAGAUCCAUGGGGCAUGUACUCAUACACAAGUGCACUCCUCAUUUCCUCUGCACAAUACCCCACUAGACGUACUACAUUGACAUGAUGGAUACUGCCAAUGGUGGAUACCUCGCUGAUGAAUUCUUCUCCAUUACAAUUGUAGUUGGAUAGCAUUUUGAUGGCAACAUGGACAUCACCAGGCAGUAUCACUCCCUUGAACACGGAGCCAUAGCCACCCUGGCCCAACUUGUCUCUAAAAUGGCUUGUCAUUGCAAUGAUGUCUGUGUAGGCGUACCUUGUUGGACCAAGCAUCAGCUGCAUUUGUAAAAACUUCUCAACUGCGUCGAUUUUUAUUCUAGUUUUCCAAUACUUGAAGGCAAGGAAGGUCAAUAGUGUCAACGGAGCUAUCACGAACCUGCAUAAAACUGCAUAAAAAAACAACUUUACAUAAACAGUGAUAACUUUUAGUAAAUGUGUCUUUAGACAUUGGAACGGUGCAGUGGUGAUUAUGUACUGUAUAAUUAAGAAGACAGAAUCAUAGAAGUACCAGCAAUCCACUUGAAAACAAACAAAGCAAAUUGUACAAUGAAUCCGCCAUAAAAUUCUAUUUUUCCACGAAGCAUCCCCAUCAUGUAUUGUGGCAUAUCGAAAUAAUCUUUCAUGCCCACUCCUCCAAUUAUGCAGGACCAGAAACUAAAGUCAAUAAAAAGGAUGUCCACAAUCUGAUCCUUGAUGGUUUGAUUGGACAAUGGUUCUUCAUGAAAGCCCCUGCAAGGCCGUGACAUGGUAGAGAAAAGAAUGGCUUAGAGAGCGUAUCAAUGCUUUUAAGACAAAUAUGUACUCAAAUUUAUGUAUGAAUGUAAUGGAACAACACCUGAAACUCACCGAAUCGACCCCAUCAGACAAUCCUUGAUGUGCCCAAUCCUACUCCACCUAUGUAUUAUGGGAAAAUGAACAGCAAAUCCAUUCCUCAUGGAUCUGACGAUGUCUGAAAAGCUUGCAUUAUGUGGCAAUGGCGAGUCCCAACCACCCAAGGGAAUCAUGGCAAGGUAGCGACAUGAAGUCUCAAGGUUUCCGAUGAUUGGAAAAACAGAUGGAGGCAUUAUCCAGGAACCAAACACAUAAACAAACGAAGAGCUUGUGCUCAGGCAAUCAACAGGAACGUACACACUAUUAUUCCUUACUGCCUGUGAACAAUUCACAAAGCUAACCCAUGUAGCUCCAGGUCCAGGGUCAAGGGCCAGGUCCCAGCCGCCAUGUGAUCCCUGGAUACCCCCCGAAACGAAAGGAAGCUGAUCCGAGCGAGGAAGAGGGCAGCUGCUGUUUGUAUCUUUUAGGCUGGCAUCCACAACCCAGAAGACAGAAGUAGUGUAGUUGAUGCUGGUUACAUAGUAUGUCCCUGUGUUGAUCCUAAUGGUAGCCUUGCUAUCUCUGCAGUCUAACUCAUAUGACGGAACACCGCAUCUUUGUGGAUCACCUCGCCGGCGGAAAGGAUGAGAAAUGUUCUGGAGAUGUCCACAGGAGAAAGGAUAGCACCCUUGCCGCCCCUCGACAUCUCCUGCAAGAAGAGCAAGAACAGCAAAGAUGAAAACAAAGGCUUGCAUUGUGGUAGAGAGGGGAUGCAUGCUACUCACUCAGCCCACAAGGACAAGGUUGGCUAACGAAGACAGGUGCUUAUGUUGGCUGCUGCAUAUGAUCCGUGCUCCCUGAUUUUGUUGACUAAUCCAGACAUAUUGCAAUCAGUCAAUAUUAUCCAUAGUCUCUGAUAGAGAUGGGGCAGGGAUGGACCAACCGAAGUAUCUGAUAGAGUAAAGCCAAAUUAGUACCAAACUUUGACCAACUUUCGCUAGGAAAUAGGAGUAUAUGAUUGAUUGUCCCCUAUUAUAGCAAGCAGUGAUCAUACAGCCUUCCUGCUCUCUCUAUUCUGUUUGCAAUCCUCUUCACCCUAAUUUUCAAUGUACCUCUGGCCGUUGCAGUACACACACACACACACACACACACACAGAGAGAGAGAGAGAGAGAGAGAGAGAUGGGUACCAUUCUCGCAACAGCCUUCCUGCUCUCUGUUCUCAGCCAUGGCAGCUACAUAGCCAUGGCUUCCUCAUCUUGGGAUGACCAAGACUUCUUCAAGCAUUGUCCACCGUCCCGGUGCAGCAAACAUGGACCAGAGAUCCGGUUCCCUCACCGGCUGCAAUCCAGCAACACACCUUCAUCAUGUGGCAGUUCACACGCCAAGCUAAUAUGCUCUGGCCAGGACACCAUCCUACAUCACCCAUUUCUGGGCCCUUGCAAGGUGACUGCCAUAGAUUACAAGAAGGCUGUCAUGAAGAUCAUCCCGUUUGGGGGUUCAUCUUCUCCAUGCCUGCUUCACAAGUUCAAUUCCACAAAUCUAUCAGCUGAUGUCAACGAUCAGAAUCAAUUAUACCUCACUGAACCUGGGAGAAUAGUGCGUUGUUCAAAAGAGUUCACAACAAGUAGAGCUUCUAUGAUCGACGGCUACAACACUGUUAUUGCCGAUAAAGUUGUCCGCUUGAUCCCCUGCCUAAGGGACACUACAAGCCACUUCUCAUAUUUGGUGUCUACUCGGCUCUACCUGUAUGCGCUUCCAUUGGACUGCAUGGUCGUCUCAAAAGGCAACAUUCCAAUCCCCAAUCCAUACACGGCUGGUUUAACGUUCAAGCAAAUGGCAGAAAGGAUAAUCAACUCUGCUGAGAUCACCCUUGAUUUGCUUCUCGGAAGUAUUCCCUACAAUUGCACGCGGUGUGAACAGCAAGGGCAACGCUGCGCGUUCAGCUCACAAAGGAAUCAAACAUUCUGCAUGCAUCACGGUACCAUUCUAACAAUAACCACCCACAAACAUAUAGCUUUAUUUCCUACAAUAGUUAAGCUCUUGCAUUUGAUCCACCCAUACAGUACUACCUUUUGAAACUUCUAGGAGAUGAGUUGCAAAAUUAUUUUGCAAACUAGUAGUACAAACCAUUUGAAUAUGUGACUGUAACUAUUUAAUCAUUCUUUACAAUUCUCAUAGAUAUCUCAAAAAAGAAGUGGCCAAUGGAGAAUAAUGUUUGCUCAACUAGCAACAAUCAGACACAAUGAUUAUAAAUUUACAUCUUAACAUAGAUAUGCAGCUACAAACAACACCAUUGUACUGCUAAUGAAAAGGACCCGAAAGCAAAAGUAACUUAAGUAACAAAAGACUCCUACAAUUAGAAAAUCUAAAAGUUAAGUAAGCAUACAACACAACUAAUCUUACAUGUUCUGAUGAUAAUCAUGAUUCUGCUGUCUUGAGUACAGAAGACUGCAGUUGAUGAUACUGUGCUGAGCUUUUGCACAAUCAGAUAUACACACACUAGGAGAAGUUAUCUAUCACAUAUAUAUUUGCAUAAUCAAAGUACAAUUGUAACCCCAAAACUAAAACUCUAUGAUAUCCCACAGGGUCCAUAUUUUUCUGCAAUGUCGUAGGUCUAUGCUGGGUUUACAUUUUUUCAAGAGUAAAUUUCCAUUUUACCUGUAAACCAUCAAAUAGAUCUUAUUGUCUGCUUUGGUAUUUGCAGGUUCACGCGUCAAAGUCAUUGCAGGUACUAUUGCAAUCCAAACCUCUGUGUGUGUGUGUGUGUGUGUGUGUGUGUGUGUGUGUGUGACAGCAGGAGUUCUGCUGGAUAUAUUAAGAAGGAGAAGCAAAGUGUUCGAGCAAUAGUCGUUAUUACAUGGCUAAAUAAGCCAACUGGAGGAAGGCAGGAUUAAGCAAACCUAUCUUUUUAUUCACAAGAAAAAAAUGAAAUAAACAAAGUUAUCUGUAGCAGAUAAAAUAGUUGUUGAUGGCUGCUCUAACUACAUUCUUCUGAUAAAAAGACACUGCGUUCUUUUAUACCCAUCAAGAUAAGCCACUCACUAUGGGAUAAUUUUCUGUCCUGAUGCAAUAUGCUGUUCUUAUUCUAUUUACUCAGCAACAUCAGUAGCUGCAUUUGUUGCUGUUUCAUUGGUGGUGGCUACUGUGCUCUAUCUCUCCCUGAAGCAAAGGUAUAAUGAAGAGGUACACUUGAAGGUUGAAAUGUUUCUCAGGACAUAUGGCACAUCAAAACCCACAAGGUAUACUUUCUCUCAAGUAAAGAAGAUAACAAGACGCUUCAAGGAAAAAGUAGGCCAAGGUGGAUUUGGAACUGUCUACAAAGGCAAGCUCCUAAAUGGAGUGCCUGUGGCAGUCAAGAUGUUAGAGAACCCUACAGGAGACGGAGAAGAUUUUAUUACUGAAGUUGCAACCAUUGGAAGAAUCCACCAUGCAAACAUUAUCCAUCUCCUGGGCUUCUGCUCCGAAGGAACAAGGCGUGCUCUUAUUUAUGAAUUUAUGCCUAAUGAGUCACUAGAGAAAUAUAUAUUCUUGCAUGAUCAUAAUACUCCUCAAGAGCUCCUGUCACCAAACAAGAUGCUAGAUAUUGCUUUAGGCAUUGCCCGAGGAAUGGAGUACCUGCAUCAAGGAUGCAACCAGCGCAUCCUCCACUUUGAUAUCAAGCCUCAUAAUAUCUUGCUGGACUAUAACUUCAGUCCAAAGAUUUCGGACUUUGGUCUUGCAAAGCUGUGCCCGAGAGACCAAAGCAUUGUUACCAUGACCAAAGCAAGAGGCACGAUGGGAUACAUUGCACCAGAGCUAUAUUCUAGGAACUUUGGGGAGAUAUCAUACAAGUCAGAUGUUUAUAGUUUUGGCAUGCUUGUGUUAGAAAUGGUGAGUGGAAGGAGGAGCUGGGACCCAAGUAUUAAGAACCAAAAUGAGGUAUACUUCCCAGAAUGGAUCUAUGAGAAAGUAAUUACUGGGCAGGAGUUCGUACUUAGUAGGGAAAUGACAGAAGAAGAGAAACAAAUGGUGAGACAGCUGGCCCUUGUGGCACUAUGGUGUAUUCAGUGGAACCCAAGAAAUCGGCCCUCGAUGACAAAGGUCGUAAACAUGAUAACUGGAAGGUUGCAGAACAUACAGGUGCCCCCUAAGCCAUUUGUUUCGUAUGAAAGCCAUCCUAUGCCAUAAAUCAUGGAGAGCACAACACCAUGACUGAAUAAAUUUUUGGGAGUUAAUCCACAUGUUUUCAUAUAGUAAGGCCUAGAAAUUGCGUUGUGUUUAUUUUGAUGAUUCCGCUGGAUUAGCCAUCUGAGGGGAUCACUCUUCAACAUGUAUUGCAGUUAAGUAGAAAUACAACAUUGUGGUUCAGUUGUGGCUGUUACCUCUGUUCAUCAGUUGCUGUGAUGUAUCUCCUGAUGUAUUGUACUCCUAGCUCCACUAGUUAGUCAGAUACUCUUAUUGUCCUUUUCAUGGGUCAGUACCUGGUGGAAAUUUCAUAAGAGAAUCCUGCAAGGUAAUUGUAAACUUUGUGUUAUCGAGUGAAUGCAUUGAAAUGGGUUUGAGCACACUUUAUCUUUAGAAAAAACUGAAUAGAAAAGCAAAGUUACCAUCGUCUGUUUGCCACUGAAAAGUUAAUUAGAUCUCACUAGUUAGUAAGAAGUAGUCGAUUGUUGCUUGCAUAUUCCAAUCCAUGCCAUUGAAAGAGCCAGGACCUGGAUAUUAGAAGGAAAUGCGAGAAGAGAAAUCUGUAGGGCAGGCAAUCAACCGUGCCAUACUGCCAUGCUACUGCUGAAAAUCUACAAGGAUCGAUAUAGUACUGAGUUCAGCUCGUGAAGUUACAAAAUUUAGUAAAGCGCCAAAAUAAAAUGAAAAUAAAUACCUCCAGCAAUGUCAGGGAGGGGAUAGAGAUCCGCCGCCGCUUCCAUCGCCGGACGGCGUGGUCCAACAAGAGCGAGGAGGUGGAGGCCUUAGUAGACACAGAUCCCCUGCGGCGAAGCGUGGGGUCGAGGCGAGGUGAACUCGACCGGUGGAUGCGCUCAGCGGGAAGCGACACGCGGUGGCGCAAGGCCAUGGGAAUGAUGCUGCACUGCAAGUCGGGUCGAUUCAGGCCAUUUUUGGCGCCGCCGCCGCCGCAGCAGCAGCAGCAGAUUGCCGGAGUCCAUGGUGGGGAGAACGAUGGGGAGUGGGGACAAGCCCAACACGUUCCUGUUCUGGCCCAACAAUACCUUUGAUCUCAAUUCCAUUUCGGCCCAUCGAAGGAAGUGGCCGAGAAAGAGACGAGUAGUGGGCCGGGCUGCAGCUGAUCUUAGGCAUGCAAAUGGCCCACCAAAUCAUUGAUCGGACGGCGUGUGUUUGCGGAUUAUCCAUCGAUUCGAAUAAUCCAACUCCAUGGAGGCGGAGGCGGAUCUCGAAUACGGAUGGCCACCGCUGCGCAGAUGAGAUGACGACCCUCACCGUCACCGGUUUGAGAUGUGGUGCGGUGGCCGGUGGGGCAUCGCCGUCGGGCAGCGGGCAGCGGCACGCCAUAAGGUCAAGGACGGAGAAUCGAUUCAGAGCGAUCCUGCCGCCGCCGGCCGCUACCGGAGCACCGGCGGAGGUUGCCAUGGCAGAUGGGAAGUGCGGGGGAGUUCUCCCGUAGUGGGCUGCGAUGCAGUUUAGGUGGGCCUUACUCGGCCCAAAAUAUUAGGCUUAGGCCCGGAGAUGACCAACAGAAAAGGCUGUAGAGACAGAACGCAGUGCGGCAGUGGUGCGCCUAAUCUGACGACUCUGUUCAGGUGAUUUGCUGUUUGGUUGUUGGUUAACUUUACCUCACUCCAAUUUGUUAAAGAUGUGGCAAGUUAUAUAAAGUAGGACUAACAAUUUGUAACCCGUAAGCAUGGUGAAGUUAAGCUUAAAAAUUAAGUGUAUGAAAAUGUGGGCUAGUGAGUCAGAAACAAAAUGUUUCACGUCUAACUUUCGGCACAGCGAACUGUGACACAAAACAAGAGCUCCGCGUGAAGUUUUUUUUUUUUAAGCAAAUGCAUUGAUGCAUGAGAUGUUAAGUUGAUAUAUCAGAUUACCAUGCAUCAUUGAUAUAUCGGAUUACCAUGCCCAGCGGUAAACACAGGCACUAGGCUGUCCAAAUCGAAAUCGUUGCAUUUCCUUUCAGCAAAAGCAUAUGUCCGUGUCUCGGAGACUUGACCAUCACUAUCGGAAUGAGCUCUGGAGUGCUCAUGCAGCACACACACCACAGAAAUGCGCCGGCCAACAACACAUUUGGCCAAUGGGCCACACAUAUAUGUGUCAUAAUUAACCAUGGCAUCCCAGUCACAACAUUAUGAUAAACGAAAUACUCCCUCUAGUUCACGGCAAAGAAAUUAUCCGGUCAGUCAAAGGCAAUCCACUGCCUCCUGCCGCUAUCCACACUGACCUCCAGAGUCCACACUCCAGGCUUGCAGUGAUCCGGAUGCCCCAGCAAAUGACAGAGAAAAUUAGAAAUGGAUUAAGUAGCAUUUUCUUCAGAAAUGAUUCUGUAGCACUUUCUAAGAUACAACUGUAAAAUCAAAGGUGUUUUUGAUUAUUAUUCUGUGAUGAACUAUUGGGCAUUGGAGAUUAUUGGUUUUGUUAUUUGGAAUUUAUUCACGAAGUGGUUUUGGAGAUGAUUGGUUUUCACAGGUGAAUAUACAGGUACUGCUGGAUUUGGGUCCGGUCAGACCGGGCUUUGGUAGCCGGUCAGACCGGCGUGUAUUGCGCGGUCAGACCGGCGCUGCCCGCGGUCUGACCAGCCGACACUGUGUCGGUUUCGGUUUCGGGUUGUUUAUUUAGAUAUCCGAGUUUAUUCCAUGAUUAUGACUUCUAGAUGGAUAUUAUACGUAUGUAAUACUAUUGUUUGCUGCUAAUGAGUCAAGUUGAAGAUAGCUUGGUUUCGGAAUAUGGUUUCUUUGUUUGUUCCAUGUGUAGGUGACUCGAUAUCUCGGGAGAGUAUUUGCGGUGAUGGACCGGGAGUCGGCUUGGGGAUAAGACGACGUCCGUGGUGGUCAGAGAUCAUGCGGGAUACUUAGGCUAGAGUUGAUGGAGUUUCCAUAUGGCAUACGAUGGAGUUAUUGUGUGCGUAUGGGAUGCGGAGUCGAAUUUGGAAGGAGUCCAAAUUUGGUACGAUUGGUUAUGUAAAGUUUCUUUCUUGUACUAGUGGGUUUCCUAAGGUGUUUAGGACUCCUAGUAUGAGUUUGGUUCGUGGCUUUAGGCUGCCUACCUCAUGUAUAAAUAGAGGGGGGGCGUGAGGCUUUCCGAUAUCGCUUUAGAGACCAAUUGAGUUGAGUUUUGAGUUAGGGUUUCGAGUUUAGUCGAAAUUUUUGUAAGGAGUGCUGUUGGUGCACUUUGUAAAUACAGAGAGAAGUAAUAAAGUCGUCAUCUACUUUAAGAGUUCUUCGAUUUGUGUUUAUCGGGUUUCGGCGGUCUAACCGGCGAUCUACCGGCGGUCAGACCGGCGGCAAGCGGCGGUCAGACCGGCGGCGUACAGGCGGUCAGACCGGCGGCAUCCUAGCGGUCAGACCGGCAAGGCAACUUCGGUCAGACCGAUCUUCAUCGAUUUCGAGGGUAAUUUUUAUUUCCGCUAAAAGUUUUCGGUUUUUGGGUAUACCAACCAUUCACCCCCCUCUGGUUGGCUUAGUUCUUGUGAUUCGAUCCUACAACUUCUAUCGUCUGUAAAUAUUUUUUUUAGAUAAAUAGUGUACAAUAACCAUUUCACUGUUUACAAUCAUUUCUAGCUUCUGCGUUUUACAAGCAAAUAGUUAGCUGAGUUUGCUUCCAAGCAGACACAAGCUUUAUCACUCAUCCUCCUCCGAGAUUUCAGUUAGCCAAGAGGAUAAAUGGUAAGAACCCACCACAUGUGGCACAGGCUCGUCAUCACAGAAGAAUGGCCUAGAAGGCAAUUGCAGACUAUCAACACCACCUUCAAGCAUCUCAAUGACCUCACUCAUUGUUGGCCGAUCAUGAGACUUCAUCUGAAUGCAAUGUAGCCCAACAAUGCACAACUUCUUUUCCAACUCAUGCAUAUUAAAGGCAGUGACCACCUCACCCAACUCUUGUUGAACCAGCUAAUUAUACACCCAUGAUGGAUAAUACGCUUGGCUUGAGCUCGACAUAUCCUGCUUAGAGUUCCUUCGCCCUCCAACCAUCUCCAACAGAAGCAUUCCAAAGCUAUACAUGUCAGAUUUGCUAGAUAUGGCACCAAAGCUCCGAGAUAUCAUCUCAGGAGCAAUAUAACCUAUUGUUCCCCUUGCAGCGCUAACAGGCACAAAACUAUUAUCCCGUGGCAUGGGUACAGUUUGACGAGGCCAAAAUCGGCAACUUUUGGGACGAAAUUGCUGUCAAGAAGGAUGUUGUGCGGCUUGAUAUCAAAAUGUAGAAUCUGCAUCUCACACCCCUGAUGCAAAUAGUUUAUUCCUCUGGCAAUGCCCAAUGCAAUCUCGUUGAGCUUGUCCCAGGAGAAUCUCAUGUCAUGUGAAAAGAUGAACUUGUCGAGGGAUCCAUUAGGCAUGUGCUCGUACACCAGUGCCCUCCUCACUUCCUCUGCACAAAACCCUACUAAACGAACCACAUUGACAUGGUGAAUCCUGCCAAUGGUGGAGACUUCACUGAUGAACUCUUCUCCAUUACAAUUGUAGUUUCCCAGCACCUUGACAGCCACAUGGACAUCACCUGGGAGUAGAACACCUUUAUAUACAGAGCCAUAGCCUCCUUGGCCGAUCUUCUCCCUGAAAUGCCCUGUUCAGUGUAGGCAUACCUCGUCGGACCAAUCAUCAGUUGCAUCCGGAGAAACUUCUCGACUGCAUCGAUUAUCAUCCUCCUCUUCCAAUACUUGUGCACCAGAAAGGUCAAUACUACUAAGGGCGGCAAAAUGAACCUGCAGGAUACUGCAUAAAAGGGAAGUUUACAGAUAGUUCAUUGGUAUAACAAGAAUGUGCUUAAACUUUAAAUGGUUGGUGCCUUGAUGCAGCAUCUACCUAGUUGUAGUGAUGCAUAUUUUGUAAAUAUAUAAUUCCUCAGUCACACAUUAAUUGUUACUGUGACACUAGCCUAAUUAGCUACCAGUUAGCAUUUGAGCAACAUGUUAUAUCCAAGUAAUUGCCGCUUUUGUAAAAAUUUUAACAAGGGAAAUAUAGCUUAAAAUAAUGUAAAACAGAGUAUGGAAAAUAUUGCUACGGCAACAAUACACACACAAAAGGACAUUUUAACGGGAAGAGCAAUAUCGAGCAGUAUGAGUCGUAAAAUUAAAGCACAACAACACAACGUUCAGAUAAGUGUGUCUUUGCAAGCUCCAAAACAAUGGCCAUUGACACCAAGUACAGCAAAGCUAAGGAUACAAAGAAGUUAUAUAAUCUGAGAUUGGACAUGUACAAUCCAGUGGUGGCUAGGAGUGAUUUAAUUUGGUGAUGUGACGCCUUAUAGGAGGAUCAUUUGUUUAAGCAUAUUGGGGUGGGGGGGGGGGGGGUUCUUAAUUUACCAGCAAUACACUUCAAAGUCCAAACGGCAAUUGGUGUUCUGCGAAUGAACAAUUGGAUAGCCAUCACAGCUCUAGUUGGUCUAGAGCCUUGAGUUGCACAUUGCAAGAUACCAUAUUCAAUUAACGAAACUAGCUCAAUCCUAUACUGGUUGCGUUCACUAGACUUGGGUUGGUCACCGUCACGGAUGUCUCUGCAGAGUACACACAAUAUGAAUUUAAGAUGCAUGCAUCCAGCAGUUAUAAGAGAAGGCCAUAUAUAUGUUAGUUAAAUUGAGAAAUAGUACUGUAAUGAUUUCACAAAUGAUCGAUGUUGAAAACUUACUGAAGUAACUCUGCCAUGCACUCUUUGAAACUGGAGUACAGAUUAAUUGUGUCAGGAAACUGAAUGGCGAAUCCACCUCUCAUUAGUUUGACGACAUCCGCAUAGCUUGCAUUCGGAUGUAGCCAGGCACUCGCCACAGGAGUCAUGGCCAGGUACCCACAAGAAGGCUCGAGACUCUUGAUAUAAUUAGCGAACCAGCCAGUUAGCACGUAAACGAAUGAGCUGCUGUUGCUUAGGCAAGCGACAGGACUGUACAUCCCAUUGUUCGUUACUUCCCGCGAACAAGUCACAAAAGCAGCGGUUAUGGUCGAAUAAGAUGGCAUCAGCUCUUGGACGAUGUUGCGGCUUGAGUCUUCGACAACCCCGUACCUUCGGUAAGGAGUGCGAUUCCAGCGAGGAAGAGGGCAACUGUUACUUGAAUCCAACAUGUUGGCGUCCACGACACUGAAGGUAGCAUCGGUGUAGUUGAUUCCCCUCACAAGGUACGUUCCGUUGUCGACCUGAAUAAUAGCCUUGUCAUCGGUGCAAGUCAGCUCGUACGACGCAACGCCGCACUCCGGCGGGUCACCUCGCCGGCGGAACGGGUACGACGCGUUCCUGAGAUGGGCGCCACAGGUGAACGUAGGACACUCAGGCUGAAGCUGAAUCUGAUGAUGCCGCCGCCCACCUGCAUCUGGGACAAGAACCGCAAGCACGCACAAGACAUAAAUGACCUGAAGCGCGGGUGAGCGAUAGAACAACGAACCAGGAAUCGCCAUGGCAGCUUAGUUUGCAGGGCCAGAGCCGGAGAUGAACGAUGAAUCAGACGUACGCAUAUAUACAUAUAUAUACAUACAUAUACAUAUAUGUACAAUAUUUAUUCGGCUGAAUACUAUUCAGUUUACUGUUUAUUCGGCUGAAUACUAUUCAAAAACACUAUUCAGUUUACUGUUUAAAUUACUGAUCAAAAAACACUGUUCACUUUGAGAGAUAUUUUAACUUUAGGAUCUUUGCAGGGUGGCGAAUCCUAUUUAGACAGCCUCAGAAGCUUGUUUCAGAUGAUGUAAAGUCCUACUCGGUACUCACCGUAUGCCUCACCUAUCUGUCUUUUUAGAAGCAACUUAAAAAGAUAUUCCAAGUCACACUUGUUCUAGCUAAGAGUUUAUCGUCUCCCCAGGCAGUUCCACCCGAAGGGAACACUUCUCUACGGAUACCGAUUCUCCAGAUGCCUAUGCAAGAUGCAGGCUAAAAACGAGAACAAACCGAAGAGGUUUCUCCUAUAGGGUCCUUAGCAUAAACACUUGUCUAGAACAAACGUGCAGGAAUACUUAAGGAAAAUUACUUCAUAUUAAACAGAUAAGCUUACAUAUGGUUUUCCCUUUCGGGAAACCCGAAGGUAGGUACAAGCAAGCUGUUCUUACCUUACACAGCGUUAUUACACAACUCCUUGCUUCAAUAUACUAUGCAAGGUAGGCUAAAGUCACUACUACUAAGAAUUGGUGGAAUGGAGGGUGAGAGCGCGCUUGGAAGCUUUGCUCUGAAUGGUGUCUUCGUUGUUCUUCUCAGCUUGAGCAAACCCCUCCUUUUAUAGAAGCUCGGGAGGCUCGACUGUGCUUCAAGCUUAUCUUCUAGAUACUGUAUUUUCACGAGCUGGCUCGCACCAUGGAGAUGCUUAUCUUCUUUUUGGCUUUACUUUGUCCUUGAAUUGGCCAAGGUGGAGACACCUCUGUACCUGCGCCUUUCUUUUCCGCCGAAAGCAAUAUUCUCCACAGUAUUUUUAACAGUCAAAUGUCAUUCACUGUCCUUGCAUUUUGGAUUGAUUCAAAUUCAAUUCAUACUUUGGUCAUUCGCAAAUAUAGUCUUCCCACGCCCAAAGAAUGGAUAUUUAUUAUCAAUUUAUAUUAUAUUGCUUUAUUGGUCAGGCUGCCCAUGACCACCUAAAUCCAUAGUAUCUACAUCAGAAAAGGAGACUUCAAAUUUUUCAUCAUAUGCUUUUUUCAUUUCUUCAAAUUUAUCAUUCAUUUCUUUCUUUAAUUCUUUAAGUAUUUCUUCUUUCAAUUCUUUUUUAAUUUGGGGGAUGCUUCUUCAAAUUUUUCAAUUAUUUUCCAAUCGAUAUAUUCGCCAUCCAAAGGAUCUACUCCCUUAGUCAAGCAUUCCUUAUACGUAGGUUUUUGGGAUGAUCCUUCAUUCUUAAUAUUUGAACAAUAUGGGUUCUCUGGAGCUUUCUUAUUUUUGGCUUUUUUGCAUUUUUGUAUAUAUUCUUUUGCUGCUGGUUCCAAGUAGUAGUUUAUUCCUAAUAUUUUUCUGGCCUGAGUUAAAGCUUCAUCAAAAUCUAUAUAUUUUUUCCAUGACAAUCCACCCAUUAAUUUUGCAUCUAUUUUUUGGGCUACUAUCUCUUCAAAAGAUAUGUACACUCCAGGAAGCUUUCCGUCAAAAACAACAUAUAUGGGUUUUUGCUGUAUUACUUCAUUAUUUUCUGAUGUUGGCAUUAUAUCAUUCAUUAGAUGGAAAUAUUCAGCAAGACUGUUUAAUAUUGAUAGCAUAUAGCCUUUUUCUUCCCUCUUAUUAUUGUAUUGAUACCAGAAAUUAUCUAAAAUGCAUUCUUGGACUUCAUCUAAUAUUAUGUGGGUUUUGGCUUAAACUUAUAGGUAUUCGGUGGGAAUACUUUGAGCUUAUUGUCUUCUCCAAACGUGAAGAACUCAACUCCAUUAUAAUUCAUGGACUUCUUCAUUCCUGCAAAAUAGGCAAUCGCGAGAGUAGAUCAGGUAAAUGAUUAUCUUUUCCCUUAAUAUGUUCAAAUAUAACUUUAUAUCCGUUGCCAGUAAUGAUAUCUUCAAAUAAAAUCCACCUCCUAGUGGAACUCUUUUUGCUAUUAAGCUGAUUAUAAUAUCUACAUAUAGCUUCGCAAUCUGUUCUAACCGUAAAUUCUUUGAACCCUAAAUAUAACCUAAAGGCAUUUAUCGCAUUGAUUAUUGCAAGUAUUUCUCUAUAUGUAUUGCCUACGGUUUUUAAUUUAUAGCUUCCAGAAGCAUACCUACAAACUUUUUCUUCUGACUUAGAUGAAUAUUUAGUAGGCCUUUGUUUUAAUACAGCACCCCAACCAAGCUGCGAUGCAUCAGUUUCAAUAAUAAAGUAACUCUCUUCUAAUGGUAAUUCUAGAGGUUUUAAUUCUUUCACCCUCUCUUUUAUUAAUCUUACUAAUUUGAUGUCUUCAGAAUUAAAAUAUCUCUGACCAUUUUUUCUUAAUUUAGCAUAUAACGGUCCUGCUAACUUUGCUAAAUUAUUGAUGUGAUUUCUAGCAUAAUUUACAAGUCCUAAGAAUUGCUGUAAUUUCUUUUUAUCAUUCAUAGCAUCAGGAAAUUCUAAAAUUUUCUUAGCAAUAUGUUCUUGCAAAUGAAUUUUGCCCUCUCCUAUUUCAUGUCCAAGGAAGUUAAUUUUUUCUUUGCAUAUUUCCAUUUUCUUUUUGGAUAAUAUUAACCCAUUUUGUUCCACCUUUCUAAAAAAUAUUUCAAGAUGAGCAAUAUGUUCUUUGUAAGUCCUUGAGAAGACUAACAGGUCAUCUAUGUAGACUAAUAUGAAUUCUUGGUUUUCGUUAAAUAUAUUCUGCAUUUUCCUUUAGAAAAUUGCUGGUGCAUUUUUUAAUCCUAAUGGCAUAACAAGCCAUUCAUAAUGUCCUUGAGGACAUGUAAAUGCAGUCCAUUCUAUAGAUUCUUCUGCCAUCUUUACUUGCCAGAAUCCAGCUUUCAAGUCAAAUUUUGAGAAAUAUUUACUACCUUGUAUUCUAUUAAUCCAUUCUUGCUUAUUUGGGAUAUUAUAGGCAUCUUCUAUAGUAUUAUCGUUUAGUCUUUUAUAAUUUAUGACCAUCCUAGAUUUACCUCUAACUUCUUCUGCAUGAUUUCUUACUAUGAAUGCUGCAGACCUGUGUGGACUUCUGCUCUCUCUUAUGGCUCCUAGUUUCAACAGUUCUUCUAUAUGCAUCUUAAAUUCUUCUAUGUCUUUCGGAGUUGCUUCUAUUGGGCUAGUCUUAAUGAUAUAUUCUGGGUUGAUUAUAUUAAUUUUACACUCAAUAGCAUUUUUCUCCCAAUAUUUCAUAGGAAUUUCUCCUAUAAUUUGGAUAUCUUCUAAUCUUUGAAUAAUUUUUUCUAUAUCCCUUUUAGACUUAAUAUCUCUAUACCAAUUUGGUGCAAAUGCUUGUAGUCCUAUGCACUCUAUGUUGGAAUUUGAUAUAUAAUAGUUGUCUAUAUUCUCACUAAGCUCAUAUUCAUUAAUUCUUUCUUCAGGCUCAAGAUUGGGUACUUCUAAGUUGUCGAGUUUGGGGGAGACUCCACCACGCUUUCGUACCUCUGAGAUAUAUGGAACAUUAUUUUGAUAUGGGAUAAAAGUAAUUCCUUGCUCAUGUAUUACUGUGGUUUGUACUGAUUGUUGAAGGAACCUUAGGACAAUUAUCAUGUCAUCAUUAAUCAUUGACAAAUCUCUUAUUGUAAUCUCAUCUAUUAUAUAUUUAGUUGCAUUAAUGUAAACCUCCAUAUUAUAAGCUAACUGAUUAUGAAUUUUCUUUAUUCCGGACAUGUCUGUGGAAACUUCUGCCUUAUUGUCGUCAAUUGUGUGAACUAUUUCAGGACAUCUUAUGAAAUAUUUGUCAUGAAUAAUAUUCUUUGUACACCCGGUGUCUACUAGUGCUAAUAUUUUAUAAGAUACUUUGGGUGUCAAUUUUAUUUUAACAGGGAUUCUUAUACCUAAUAUUUCUUUGAAAGGCAAUCUUACUAUAUAUUUUUUUCCAAAAUUAGUUAUGGCCUCUCUUAGUUGAAUUAUUUUAGCAGUAUUACUGUCUUUUAAUGUUAUCAAUUGCUCUUUAAAUUCGGUGUUUUGUAUGUCCUUAUUCUCUGGUAAUGCCUUAAUAUCGCAAUUAUUUUUUAGGUUCUCUAAUUCUACUUCUAGUUUAUUUAGUCUAUUUUCUAACACUCGUACUCUACUAGAUAAAGUCUUUUCAUCUGAUUCUAAUUCUAUUUCUUUUCUCCAUUUUUGUUUAUUUGCUUUUAUACAUUCAGCACAAGCUUGUUUUAGACAUAUACUACAAGUCACUCUAUUUUCUUGACUAGGGUAAUAUAUGCAAAAAGCACAUUUGAUAUUAUAGUCACCCUUUCCUCUAAUCCAAUCAUGUUCACAAUUUAAUUGAUCCAUCAUUUCAACCUUUAAACCUGCUAAUUCGUCAAUUAAAUCUAACUCUUCAUCGGAUGAUUCAUAUUCUUCGUUGAUGGUUUCAACUUCGUCUGUUUCUAUGAUAGAAUAUAUUGACUCGUCAUCUUUUAUUUCAUCAUCACAUACUAAUAUGUUUUCAUUUACGCUAUCUAUAAUUAGAAUCCUCUCUUGUUCUUCAUAUUUACUAGAAUAUCUCUUUUGAUCUUUAUUUGGGCAUGUUCUACUUAAAUGAUCUGGCGAGUUGCAUAUAAAACAUCUGCAUGUUUUGUCAUAGGUUUUCUUUGGAUUAUAUCUUCUUACAUUUCUUUUAUGUAAGAAGGGUGCUCUAUUAUCUGAUCUUCUUAAGAAAUACCUUUUCUUCGUUCUAAUAUUAUUAUGGUUUCUAUUUUGAUGUUUAUAAAUUCUUUUACUUCUAGGCUUGUCUUCUCCAUAUGACAAGGGUAUUUGAACUAUUUUAUUGCAGAAAUUGUAAUCCGAGUGUUUCAUAGAUCUUUGGGCUUGGAUACCCGUGCAUAUUUUUCUUAGUUGCUUAAACACAAAAGUUAUGGCUUGAGAGAUGUUGAUUUCAGCUCCUUCAGUUUCCUUUUUAUAUUCUUCAAAUAUCAUACUUCCUAGUGGGUCAGGUAAUUUAUUGAAAUAACGUUCAACUAUACCCCUGUUAUAUCCUUGUUUAGCAGUUGUAGCAUUAUAUAAAUAAUGUUGGGAGAAUUCUUUUAUGCCUUUCCAACUUGUUAACGUUAAUUUUUCUAUUUCUUUUAACCUUUCAUUUUGCAAAGUUGUAUAACCUAAUUCCGGAUCUUCAGCUAUAAUAAUGUUAGAUAUAACAUUUGCAAAAUUAUGCGGAUUGCUACCAGCUCUUUUCAAUUCUUCAUAAUUAUUAGGAUUCUUUUCAACCCAUUGUUCCCAUAGAACCUUAGCAGAUUCACCUAAAAAUGUUUCUAAGUAGGUUAUCAUAUCUUCAACUUUACUUCCUAUAUUGUGCUGGUUUUGUAUAUAUUUUUGAACUAUUAAACAUUUCCAAAUACUAAUAAUAUUAGGCCAAUCAAUAGGGUCAUGUGCGGCUAAAUUUAAUAUAGCACCAUCACUCCUCUGGUUUUGAAAUUUAACAGGCUUCUCAAAGUCUCUUCUCUUAGUACCCAUGUGCCUAUAUUGACCUGGUAUAUAGUUAUACGAAAAUUCUUCUCUAUCAGGGGGCCAUUUUCCUGCUGCCCUAGCUGGUCUUUCUCUUUCUCCUUCGUUUUUCACAGUACCUUCUCCAUAUCUUUUUCUCUUUCCUGUUCCUAAGUCCACUUCCAUAGCUUCCAUUGCAUUUUCAAGAUUAUGUAACCCUACUUCAUCUAAUGUGUUUAUAAAAUCAUUAUAUUGUUCUGCAUUGUCUAUUUCAUUUUCUAUAUUCUCCAUCUCAUUUAUUAGAUUAAUUUCUUCUUCAUAACUUUCAAGAAAUAAUUUUUCAUUCUCUGCCCAUUGCUCUUCUUCACUUAAAAUUUUACCAAGAUUUUGCUCUUCUUUGUCAUGCUCAUCUUGCUCUUUCUUCUUUAUCUGUUCUAUCUUGGUUUCUUGGUUUUUAAAAAUUUCUACUGCCAUAUCUUCGUUCUUCUUUACUUUCUUUACUCUGGCUAAUUCUCUAUAGAAAUAAAGUUCUUUAUCUCUUAUUUUAGGCCACUCACACUUCAUAGAGUUAUUAUAUUCUUCAUUUAUUUCCUUUAAUUUAUUUUCGUAAUAUUUUAUCUCACUUUCUUGAUCUAAUUUUUCCAUAAACUCUGAAACACUAUGUCUUCUAUUAUCUAUUAUAUUUCUAUCAGAUGCUUCUGUUUCUAAGUCAUCUGUGGUUCUGGGUUUGUAAUUUAUAAAUCUAAUGCUGGUAUUUCCUUUACUAUUUUGAUAACUUAUAUAAUUUUCAGGCUGACUCAAAGUUUUGCUUUCAAUUAAAUCACUAAUUUUCCAUUCUUCUCCUGCCCUUUCUUCAGAACUUAUUUUUAAAGGGCUCAUGAAAGUUAUUCCCUUAGAGUGCAUAUUUUCAAUCACGUCAUUUACAUUUAUUUUGUAUUUGGAGGCACUUCUAUUAGUUAAUCUUCCUAUAAAUUCUAUGCUUACUAGCAAAUUUGUUCCUUUAAAUUCCUCGUAUCCCUUUGUUUGAAAACCAAAACUCAUUUUAUCUAUAAAUUCUUUUAUAGGCAUCAUUAGAUCUGGGGCUAUAUAUGUUAUCAACAUAUUCUCAUUCAUGUCACCUUCUAAAAAUCCUAAUGCUGCUUUAUCUAUUGUGUCCCACCUUUUAUCUAACAGAGUUAUUAAAACUUUAGCUCCUAUUUUCUUUCUUGUCAUACCUUUGAUUCCUAUUAUAUACAUACCUUGGUGAAUAUAUUUAUACCCUGAAUACUUUAAUCCAUUUUCAAAUUCCUUGGCUACAAUUUUUAACUCAACUGGCUUUGUUAAAACGCUUAACUCUACUUCUCUAGAUAUUCUGUAUAACCCAUUUUUAUUCUCAAAAAAUCCCAUGCAAUAUAUUUGUUGAGGUCUUAUUGCCUUCAGAGUAUCUCUUUGAUAUCUUUCGAGCUGUUUGUCUACUUCUGCAAUAUCUUCAAGCUCAUCUAUGUCUUCUUUUUUACCUUUUUGUUUAUCAAUACAACUUAAAGAUUUAUCGUCUCUGCUUGCUAUUCUUCUAAACAAACUCCUAGAUAGGUCCAUUUUUAUGAAUUAAUAGCUUGAGACGAGGUAAUUAUGCCUGUUGAAGCCAAAACUAUCUCUUUUCCUUUACUAGAAUUUAUUAUUUCUAAUAAUUCUUUGAUAUAAUCACUGUUUUGUAAUAUCUUAUUCUGCCUUAUCUUAUAAUCCUCUAGCUCUUUUAGCACUGAAUUUAAUUUAUUACUGACAAGCAAAUAUUGUUCUUCAGAUUGCUUUCGUUCUUUAAACAAAUCUUCAAUCCUUCGCUCUAAAUCUUCCUGCUUUUUAUCCCAAUUUAUAUAAAAAUUAUAUAUCAGAUCAACAAUUAAAUUUAAUUGACUAUUGUUAGAGUGCCAACUAUGGUCUUCAAUGUGAUUUAAUCUACACCUUAUACUCAGAUUAUCUUUGGUAGUAAUUAUCUUUCCAAUAUUAGCUUCUGAAUUUGAUUUCUCUAUGAUGACUGGCUCUGAUACCACACUUAUGCUUCGGACAAAAAACACUGUUCAAAAACACUAUUUAUAUACAUAUAUAUAUAAAUAUACAUAUACAUAUAUAUAUAUAUACAUAUAUAUAUACAUAUAUAUACAUAUAUAUAUACAUAUAUAUACAUAUAUAUAUACAUAUAUAUAUAUAUAUAUACAUAUAUAUAUAUAUAUAUAUAUAUAUAUAUAUUACUCGUAAAUUAACGGACAUGUUUUUUCUUUGAUGUAAUAACCAUUGCCAUUUUCUUCGUCGGCCACCGUCUUCCGAAAACACAUUUUGCCAUUCUGGUAGAUGUUUGCACGCCGGAGAUGGGGAGAUGUGAAGUAAUUAUUUAUUCUUUUCAUAUCAUUUGAUUCAUUGUUAAAUAUACUUUCAUGUACGCAUAUAGCCGAUUUUUUUUAAUCUAAACACAUGCAGCCCUUUUAUUACGUAUUUGAGCACACCAUAUUUAUAAUUCCAUUUCUAAGCAUGUACAUGUACAGGACCACGUCAAUCCCUCGAUCUAAUGCCUAACAAAAUAAAUGUACCUUUUGCAACCUUGUUUCUAGCGAUAACGUCCACAAGUUAGAAGCCUGGUAAUGUAAACUCAUUUAUUUGUAAACUAGUAGCAAUUUCUUAGGUCUAUUAGCUUGCUAUAUUCAGUUUAUACUUAAAAAAUGUGUAACAAUGAUUUGUAAAAUCAAAAUAACAUAUUUUGAACCAUACUUAAUAAAUAUGUCAAACAUUAAUACAAAGUAACAAAACUCAAUUCAAUGGCCUAUUAAUUUGUUAGACAUUAUGUUAUGGAACAACACUUGGACAUUAUGUUAUGGAGCAAUGUCUGCACUUGAGCAUCUCGUCUAUGGAUUGAAAUAUGGGUUUGGCGUGCUUAUAUUUGGAAUUAAACUGAUGCAUGUGCUUACAUGUAAAAAAUCGGGCACAUAUAGUUUUAUAUAUUUCACAAAAUUUUUUAAAUAAGACGAACGGUCAAGCACGUACUAUAAAGUCAACGGUGUCAAACAUUUUAAAACGGAGGGAGUAUAUAUAUAGCAAUUAGUGAAUAUAGCUUUACUAGUAAGCGAAACAAUUCACUUUGGGCCUACUUGACUGUGAUGUUGUUGACUUGGAACUUAAUUGGAAGUCCUCAUUAACGAGAGACAAAGUUACACGUGGGCUCAGACGUGCUGUGGAUAAAUCGCGCCGGGGAGUGUGUGCUGUGAUUAGAUGGAGAGCGGGGCGGAGGAAGGCGAGAAAGGGGAUCACGUUCCGGGCCACACGUGGGCUCGUAAUCCCGUUCUGGGCCGACAACUCCAGGCCCAACACGUUUGACGGCCGCGAAAGCAUCGAAUUUUUUUAUUUAUACAUUUUUUUAUUAAAAUAUUUAAAAAAUAAUUUUUUUUUCGAAAAUUUACAAAUCUAAUCGCCUGCCGCCCUUUGGGAGAUCGCCCUUCCAGAGGGCGGACCUAAAUGCAAAUUUUCCAACACAACUUGUUAGCACUAUGAUUUUACAAUUUAAGAUUAUAUUAUAUUAAGUCAUAUGAAAUAAAACAUUAUAUCAAAAUUGUAGAGCUCAAGGAGAUCUACAACUUUGUAGUUAACAACCUUUUCAUUUAAGAUAUUUUAGAUAUCCAAAUAUUCGUUACAAAAUAUAAAACAUAUUUUAAAAAAUCUCAGAUCUACAUUUCAAACGAUAUUGGAUGGAAAUAAACUUUAUAUAAAAGUUGUAGAUCUUGAUGAGAUCUAUAAAUUUGUAGUUCAUCACUUUUCCAUUCAAAAUUAUUUGGAGUAUCAAAUAAGCAUUAUUAGUUUUUAAGCAAUUAAAACCGGUGGAAAGAGUUUGAACACAAAUAAAAAUUUUGCAUUUAGGUCCCUUGACGCUCUUUGGGAGGGCGAUUUUAAUAUUUUAAUAAAAAAAUGUAUAAAUAAAAAAAAUUCUGAAAGCAUCUAUGCACGCGCGCUGUGGUCGGCCUGCAAUGCACGCAAGGCGUUCUCCCAUGGUGGGUUGCAGCGCAGUUGAGACUGAUCUCUUACAAAAUGAUUCGACCCACAAGCUUAUCAAGGCAUGGAGGAAAGGAGAAGGUCCACUUUGACUCUCUUUAGCAGCCCGAAUCUAAUUCGUACCUGUUAACAAAAAAAAAUUGGGUAGGAUGACUCCUGAAACUAUUGAAACUGACUCUAUCAGUGGUUUUGAAUGAUGGUUUUGCUGAUGUGGCAGUGUUGAUCUGGUCUUCGUCCCAUGUGGCGUUGACGUGACGCUUAUGUGACAUUAGAAUAAAAGGUAUAUAUAUGAGACUCAUUCGUUAUUCACAAAAAAAAAAUAUUGUGGAACCCACUGACGUGGCGCUUAUGUCAUGCUCUCUCUCCAACCCUUCUUCCCACUUCCUCUCUCUCCUUAUUUCUCUUUCUCUUCCCCUUCAGCCGUCUAUGAGGAGCGGGGGCUGCAGUGGUGGCGGUGGGCGGGAGGGCGAGGGUGCUGGAGCAGUCGCGCCAGCCGGCAGCGAUGGGACGAAGAUACCUUUUCUUUUACAAAGAAAUUCAGCAAGCAUGAACCAAAUUGUGAGAGCUAGAAGCUCCGCCUGCUUCUCCAGUGCCCGCCAUACCACCCGUCACCGCCACCGUUCCAACCCCGUUCCCCGUAGAUGGCCAAGGGGAAGAGAAAGAGAGGAGGAGGAGGAAGAAGGGUUGGAUAGAGGAUGACAUGUGGACCCAACAUGUUAGUGAGUCCCAUUGUAGUUUUUGUGUGAAUGACAAAUGGGUCCCACAUACUUUUAAUUUCUAAUGUCACAAAAGUGCCACGUCAAUGCCACGUGGGGCGAAGACCAAGUCAGCACCGCCACGUCAGCGAAACCACCCUCCAAGACCGUAAGAGAGUCAAAUUACGUCGAUUUAAUAGUUUAGGGGAGUCGUCCUACCCAAUUUAUUUUAAGGGGUAUAAAUUAGAUACGGUUUAUUUUAAGAGAGUCGAAGUGGACUUUUUUCUUGAUAUGAUCUCGUCUUUGCCGUGGACCUUCAUCUACCCACCUAUACUCAUAAAUCACCUGGGCUUGCAAGCUACUCCCUCCGUCCAAAAAAAUACAAACCCUGGUUUCCGUGCCCAAUGUUUGACCGUCCGUCUUAUUUGAAAAAAUUAUGAAAAAAAUUAAAAAGACAAGUCACGCAUAAAAUAUUAAUCAUGUUUUAUCAUCUAACAACAAUGAAAAUACGAAUUAUAAAAAAAUUUCAUAUAAGACGAACAGUCAAAGUUGGACACGGAAAGCUAGGGUUUGCAUUUUUUUUGGGAUGGAGAGAGUACUUGAUUUGAUAUACCUGGCUCAACUCAAUCGUGCUGGAUAUAAUUUUUUCCCGGGCAAGUUACCUUAUAUUUAUAACGCAGUAACUAUUAAAAACACAGCUAUGCAUAGGAAAUCUACUAGUUAGAUAUUUUCUUUCCUGCUUAAUGAAGUGGCAGACCUCUGCUUCUUUAAAAAAACAUUUUCUUUUACAGAAAUAUAUAUAAAGAUCGAAAAGUGGCAUUUCAAGUCACCAACAUACUGAUGCAUUGUUUGUUUGGUUCAUUGAUUAGUGAAGGCUUGCAGCUGUGCAGCUGUGCGUGCAGGGCCGACGACGAGGGUAUGCGAAGUGAGGGAUCGAACAGGGUCGCUAAAAAUUAGGAGCCGCAAAUUUUUUAUAUUUUGAUCUAUGCCAACGUGUUUCAAUUUAUUUAAAAUUCUCUCGCUCUAUUUUUACAAAAUUUUACUCUUUCUUAUUUGUUGAUUUUGUUAGAACAAGCUUAUUUUUUUCAGCUACAAUAAGUGUUCGAUGGCAAUCACGACCAAUUCAAAGAGCCGAUGAUAUGGACGUGUCUUCUGUGCAUUAAAGAUUCCAUUCUUUUUUCUUAACAAAGAUAAAUCACUACAUCAUGAUAUAAUAUUUUUCUAAUAUUUAUCUUAAAAAUCUUCCGCUACUUGUUUCUUACGUAUUUUUAUGGACCUCAAAUUAUGUUUCACCGGGGCCUUAAAUUUCUAUAUACGGUCCUGUGUACUGUGCGUGCAAUGCUUUCAGCUUUCGUGCCGGUCAGACAAACAUGACCAGGGUGUAUACUGGUAGUCAGACAUGAACAGUUGUUACUCUCUCCGUCCCAUAAUAUAUCAAUCUAAUAUCUGAUGCGACAUUUCAUAGUACAAUAAAUCUAUAUACCCUCCUGUUUAGAUUCGUUGUACUAUAAAAUAUUCUAUCACCCUCCUGUUCAGAUUCGUUGUACUAUAAAAUAUUCUAUCCGGUACUAGAUUGCUAUAUUAUGGGAUGGAGAAAGUAUAUUGGAUUACAGCCCCAAGCGGUAACAACAGUAGGCUGUCUAAAUCGCGGCAUUUCCUUUCAGCAAAAACAGGGUACUACUUAUUAUCUCGGAGAGACGGAGACUUGACCAUCACUAUCGGAUCAAUGAGCUCUGACGUGCUCAUGCAGCACACACCACAGAAAAUGCAACAGCCAAACAACACAUGUGGCCAAUUCUCACACAUAACGAUAACAUCCCAAUCACAACUUUAUGAUAAACGAAAGCUUCCAUUCCAUCCAGUUCACGGCAAAGAGAUUACCCGGUCAGUCAAAGAUAGCAGCUGCCUCCUGCCGCUAUCCGCACUGACCUCUGGAGUCCACACAUCCAGGCUUGCAGUGAUCCGAAUGCCACAGCAAAGAAGAGAAGAAAUCAGGAAUGGAUUAAGUAGCAUUUUUUUUCAGCAACCAUUCAGUAGCACUUUCUAAAAUACAACCUUUAUCGGUUGUAAAUCAUAAAUAAAUAGUGUAAAAUAAAAUAUAUCACUGUUUACAGUUAAUAUUUCCAGCUUCAGCAUUUUACCACCUACCUACAAGAGCUAGCUACUAGCUAGCUGAUUUGGCAUCAAAACAUGCAUAAGUUCACUCAUCCUCCUCUAAGAUUUCAGUUAGCCCAGAGGAGAAUUGGUAAGAAUCCAUCAUAGGUGACAUGGACUCAUCAUCACAGAAGAAUGGUCUUGGAGGCAUCUGCAGGCCAACAACGCCACCUUCAAGCAUCUCUAUGACCUCGCUCAUCGUCGGCCGAUCGUGAGACUUCAUCUGGAUGCAAUGUAGCCCGAUUAUGCACAGCUUCCUCUCAAGCUCAUGCAUGUUAGCAACAGUAGCAGCAGAUAUCUCACCAACACCCACCUGUUGCUCUAUUAGCCGGUCAUACACCCACGACGGGUAGUAGGCCUGACUUGAGUUCCCUGCAUGCAUGUCUGAGUUCCUUCUUCCUCCAGCCAUCUCCAGCAGCAGCAUUCCAAAGCUAUAGACAUCGGAUUUGCUUGAUAUAACGCCAAAGCUCCGAGAUAUCAUUUCAGGAGCAAUAUAACCUAUUGUUCCCCUUAAGGCGUUGAGCGGCACAAAACUGUUGUCCCUUGGGUACAGUUUGGCGAGGCCGAAAUCAGCAACCUUUGGAACAAAGUUGUCAUCAAGAAGGAUGUUGUGUGGCUUGAUGUCAAAGUGCAGUAUCUGCAUAUCGCAACCUUGAUGAAGAUAGUUGAUCCCCCUAGCAAUACCCAAAGCUAUCUCAUUGAGUUUGUCCCAUGAGAAACUUCUCUUGGAUGAGAAAAUGUACUUGUCUAGAGAUCCUCGUGGCAUGUACUCGUACACAAGUGCCCUCCUCAGUUCCUCUGAACAAAAACCAACAAGACGAACUACAUUGACGUGGUGGAUCCUACCAAUGGUGGAGACCUCACUGAUGAACUCUUCACCGUUGCAGUUGGCAUUUUCCAGCACCUUGACAGCCACAUUAACAUAACCUGGGAGAACACCUUUGUAUACCGAGCCGUAGCCUCCUUGGCCAAGCUUCUCACCGAAGUGACCUGUAAUUGCAGUGAGGUCAGUGUAGGCAUACCUUGUUGGGCCGAGAGUUAGUUGCAUCUGGAGGAACUUCUCUACUGCAUCAAUUGUUAUCUUAUUUCUCCAAUACUUGUGGGCAAGGAAGAUGAAUACUGCUAAUGGGGCCAAUACGAAUCUGCACAGUACUGCAUAAGAGCAAUUUACCAUAAAACAAUUAUGGAUUAACCUAGCAAGAAUGUAGUAAGACAAUACACUCUGCGUCUACAAUGAGGUAUAAUGUAAUGACUCUAAAUUACCAGCAGUCCACUUCAAAAUCAGUAGGGCUGUGUCGACCACCAUGUACGUGUAGAUGAGGUUAUUAUGUGAUCUAUCUCCAAGCAGGAAGCACGACCAGAAAUAGAAGUCAAUGAUAGCAAUAUUCGCAAUCCUUUCCUUGCUCCCUGUACCUGUCUGGCUACAAGACCAUGGGGUAAAGAAAUGAGUAAGACAUGGCUAAUCGUAUUUGAGGGCUUGUUUGGAUUGGAUUACAGCCAUCGUUAACCUUAGCAAAAUAUUAUGUGGGAGAGUGAAACUACAUUAUUUGACAGAUUAACUCACCGGAUUGACAGUGCCAGGCAUUCUUUGAAGUUCCACCCACUAACUGUGAAAGGAAAUCGAACGGCAAAUCCAGUCAUCAUUAGCUUUACAACAUCCUGAUAGCUUACAUUCUGCAGCGCCGACGUGCUGUUCAACUUGCUGCCACCCAAAGGAGUCGUGGCCAGGUACCCACAGGAAGGCUCAAGGUUCUGAAUAUAAGCAGAUUGUUGGCCAGUAAACACGUAAACGAAGGAUCUGCUGGUGCUCAGGCAAGCGACGGGCAUGUACAUCCAACUGCUGUUCCUUAUUUCCUGCGAACAAUUGACAAAGCUAGCCCAGGUAACCCCUACUGGAGGUGCCAAUUCAAUGAUGUGGUGUGACUUGGCCUGGAGCCUGGGAUCACGAAGAAGGGGGUUCCAGCGAGGAAGAAGGCAACUGCUACGUGAAUCCAAGAAGCUGGCAUCGACGACCCACAAGGUAGAAUCACCAUAGUUGAUGUCACUUACAGAGUAUGUCUCCUUGUCGAUCUGAAUUGUAGCCUUGUCGUCUGCACAAGUUAGCUCGUAGGAUUGAACACCGCACUCCGGCGGGUCACCUCGCCGGCGGAACGGGAACGACACGUCACUGAGAUGGCCGCAUGUGAACGGAGGGCAGUCAUGGCGCCGAUGAUGCCGCCGGCCACCUGCAGCAUCUGGAACGAGAACCCCAAGCACACACAAGACAUAAAUUACUCGCAUGACAGUAGAGCAAUGCAGAGCACCAUGAAUCGCAAUUGCCAGGUUCAAAGAAAAGCGCACAGGUCAGAACAAGAUGGACGAACGACAUGGUUGAUAUUGCAAGCGCUUCCGUGUUCCAGUUGAAUAAGCAAAAAGAAAAAAAAAUAAUAUCCGAAUACCUGAGCAAUGACGUGUUUAGCUAAUCAGGGCUGCCUGCCCUUGACUGUGAUGCUGUUGACUGAGAGUCUGAGACAGAUUCGUUCGUUUAGGAUAGCUUAACAGACAUGUCCAUAUAUUCUCCCUUCAUCAUCACUUCCGAAUACCUGAACAAGUUUUGCUGCACCUCGUUGGUCUGGGAAGUGGGACUGAAUGGUACUCUUCUGUCUUCUUCUGUCUCAUCAACAGCAUCUCAGUCAAGAUCAGGCAAUGCAGCCGCUGGAAGUUACACCGAAAGCUGCAAUUACCUGCCAACAAACCUUUAAAAAAAGAUUAUCACCAGUCUCUCCUUUACCACCAUAAAGCUUCACCAUGUCAACUUCACGAGUUGAUUUCAACAUCACCAAAAGAAAAAAAAAAGUCUCAUGUACUAGCUUUAGAUGUUAUCAAGGUUAUUGGAAUAGUAGCCGGAAUAAAUCGGUAGUGUAAAAUCAAGGGCAUGGGGGAGCCAAAAAUGAUAAGGAAUACCUUUUGAAGAAAUAGAACACGUCAAAAGUUUCAUUGGCUCUGCUCAGAGCCUCAGACAUCAUAGCAAGCACAGCAUCAAUCGUCACCGAGAAAACAGGUG